GACCAAAAUCGCACAAACAAAGAACCAUGGAUUUUCCGAGUCAGUAAAAAAGCUAACUGCUCUUCAAUCCUUGCGUUUGUAUACUUUAGGAGAGGAAAUGUUAACCUUGCCGCACCUCAUGCCUUUCUCAGACCACACCUACCUUUACCAUCUAAGUUUAAGUGGAAGGCUCGAAAGGUUCCCUGAUGAAAUUGAAUUCUACCCUCCAAACCUCAUCUCCUUGGAAUUGGAAUGUUUGAAUAUAGAGCAAGACCCAAUGGUGACCCUAGAGAAGCUGCCAAACUUGAGAUUUCUCAUGUUAUCCCUUUGUUCCUCUAUGGUAAAGAAGAUGGUCUGUACUUCUGGAGGAUUCCUGCAACUCGAAACCCUUAUGCUCUGGGGUUUGAAAGAAUUAGAAGAAUUGAUUGUGGAGGAAGGGGAAAUGCCUGAUCUGAAGGAUUUAGUAAUUGAUACAUGCCCUAAAAUGAAAAGGCUUUCCCAUGGAUUGCUGCAACGAAAAAAAUUGCAGUAGCUAAGGUUGUAUGAUUUGUCUCCUGAGUUAAUGGAUGAGCUUUCUCGGAUAGAAAGAGGAGAUCCGGAGAAGAUCUGCCUCGCCACCUCAAUAUCCGAUCCGGAGAAGAUCGGAUAGAAGGUGGAGGCAUACGGCAUCAUGAAGGCUCAGGAGAAGUUUCAUAAAGCGCUACCAGGAAACGCUUGGACUGUAUUGAAGAGCAUUUCCAAUGCAACAAAUCUUUCUCUACUUGUCUAAGCUCGUCUUUUUCCUUGUUUUUUCUGCUUUUGUGAAACAUACGUGUUUGUGUAAGAUGCUUCCACGUUUUCAAAUAAAGUGAUCAGUCAGUUUAUAAUUGAACAUCACUGGAGUUUUAAUAAGAGAAAACCAACAGAAUACAUGCAAGAGGAGAAGCCCAUACCCUUCUAAAAGGUUGGGAAGUGUUUUUGAAAUCAGUUUUUAAGAAUAAUUUUUUGAUGUUCUUAUAAACAAAAUUAUGUUUGAAAAUUGAUUACUACUCAAAAAGUGCUAUUUGAUAGCCUGUAAUUAACUUUUUUAAACACUUUUGAGUAGUAGUUAUCACCUUUUAACCCAAUUAACAUAUUAAGGACCCUUGCAAUCAAUUCUAAUCAAAUUGUGUUAAGUUUUGGUGUUUUGAUAGCUUUUUGAUCACCAAAGCAAUCAGAGAUUGAGGAGAGUUCUUUGGAAUCCAUGGCAAAGACGUCCGGACAAGGUGUCCGGACACACCAUUGGAGAGUGGCGGAACGUGGGCUGUAGCAAGGCUUGCUCGCUUUAGUCAAUGUUUUCCAUCCGGACAACAUAUCUGGAUAGGAUAUGCUAUCGUCCGGGUGUGAUGUUCACGAGUGCCGUGUGCUUCUCCCUGAGAGAAUCCGGAUAGCAUUGCGCCGCCUUUCCGCUUGGGGAAUCCGGAUGGAAUUGAUCCGGAUAGCCUGGCGGCGCGGGACAUUUCAUAUCCGGAAUUCCGUGCGUCGACAUUUUUACAUCCGGAUGUGAGCCGUGCGCCGACGUUUUACAUCCGGAUAUCUCACAUCCGGAUGGGAGAGGAGGACGUUUCAACUUUUCCGGAUAGACAUAUCCAGACCUUCUGAUAGCGCUUACCUACAGAGUUUUUCUCUCAGUAUACAGUGCAGUGGUGUUCUCCUGAAGCUUCCUGAUAUUUUCGACCGACAUUUUGAGAUAUUUUGGGAUAUUUUGCUUUAGAUAUUUGAUGUUUAAAUCCCCAAACUCUCCUUGUAAUCCACCUAUCAUAGGAUUUCUUAGUCUUUAAGUAAGUACAAAGGGUGAAUAACCUCAUAUAUAUAGUUUGUAAUUUUCUUUACAAUGAUAUCUAUUAUGUAAUCGACGGAAGAAAGAAAUAUAUUUCACAGAGCACUUGCUUUGUUUUUCCUUCAUAUAAUUGUUUUCUCGUUAGUUUUCUUACUAGCCAAACAAGCUCUGAGGAAGUUUCCUCAGAGAAUGAGUGGCUAGACUUUUAGUUCCUUGGAGUUAAGGUUGCCGGGAAAGGUUCCAAGUGCAAGAAUUAGUAGCUUUGUGGUUUCAGUCAUUAAUGAAGAGAAAGUGUGAUCCUUUAAUGAUUUAUAUGUUUUUAGUUAACUUAAAACACCUUCAAGUCACUUGAGCCAACACUUGGUAAGGCACGUGAUCUCCGUCCAUGGAGAUGCACUUGUUUAUCUCUUGCGAGCUUUUGGGAAGUGACUUGGAGGUAGGAUUUUCUAGAAUUGCCAACACUUAGUAAGCUUUUGGACUUCAAGGAGACAUCCAUUAGUUAUCUCUUGCGAGCUUGAGAAGGGAAGUCCAAAGUUAAAGAUCACCUUGAAUGGCAACUACUAGGUGAGAGGCACGAGCCAUUGCAAGUUGCAUCAGUGAGAGGGAAUUAGAGCUGAAAUCCAUUUAAAGGAUACAUCUGUACAACACCGAUUAGAGAAUUGACUAUAUGUUAAUUCUCUAAUGCGAGGAAAUGAACCAAAUGACCAAAGCUCUGUUUUUGCAUAAGGAACCUCCCCUGUGAACCUAAACCUCCGAGGAAUGUUUUUCUUCAUAAGUAAUUUCCAUUACUUUUUUUUUGGUUAGUUUAAGACCAAACCCUUUUCACUCAAACAUCUUUAUGUUUUCUUUUAAAGCUAACCUUGAAAUGAAAAAGCACCAACUCAGCUUUGAAUUGGUAUCAGUUGUGAGUUGAAAACCUUUCCCAAUGAACGAUCCUAGAGCCACUAUGCUAUAGUAGCUUUGUCUUUGCUACCCUAGUUCAUGGUGUAAUAGGUUAUAAAUUUUGUUGAUUACUACCUCAAUCAAGGAGCACCAGCUGGACAUGAAUCAGCUGAUACACCAAGUGGACACGAAUCAAAAAUUGAAUUCUAAAAAAUAAUUUUUAUUCUUAAAAAAAAAAAAAAAAAACAUGUUUGAUUGAGUUAAUAAAAAUAACUUUUAACAACAAAUAAAACAAAAAAACUUGUUUGGAAGUUGUUAUUGUUGAAUUUUUUUUAAGUUGGGUAUUUUCUUUAAUUAACUUGAUGUUAUAAAUCUAUAAAUAAUUUUUACAUUCACAUUUCAUUAAAAAUAAAAAAGUUCCAUUUUGAAAUUUUUUUUGCAUCAGUUUUAAUUUUUUUAAACAAAAUAUUACUUUAUAAUAUGUUUGAUUUCAAUAAUUAGUAAAUUAUCCAAUUAAAAUAUCAUAAAUUGGUAAAUAUCAAUGAUUGGAUUUUAUGAAGAUAAAAUUUAUGAUAUCAAACAAUAAUGCAUUAUACUUGGAAACUUAUGAUCUAUUUUUUCUAUUUUAAAUAUAAUUAAUAAUAUAAAAAGUUAACUGAAAAUGAUAUAUUUAUGAUAAUUUUUUAAAUAUUUAUAAUUUUAUUUAAAAUUAAAUUUUAUAUUUUAUAUUUAAUUAUUAUAUAAAAGAUAAAAAAUUCUUAAAGUAAAUCAAAUUAAUUUAUUUAUAAAAAUUUAUUAAUCUUUACUAUAUAUAUAACAUAUUGGGACGAAAACCAAGAUCAAUACCUUUUCAUUUCUUUCCCUCCUCUAUAUCUCCCUGUUCUCUUUUCAGUUCUUUGUCUCCUCUUGUUUCUCUUUCAAGAUCCAAACUUUUAUUCAGGUGAACUAUUUUUCUUUUCUAAAAUCAAAACAUUAUUCAUUAAGGCCAAAAUUCAGAUUUGUGGUUGUUGCAGAGAUUCCUGGUAAAGUUUCAUGUUUUUUUUUUUAAUUAUUCUUUUUUAUUUUUUGCAUUCUUAGUCUUUUUUGUGUUCUUGUUUAUGUUUUGUUUGGUUUUUGGGAAAUCCUAAAAUUUAUGGAGGUUUUGGCUUUGAGAUAUGAUAAAAUCCUAAAAUAUAAAAAAAGAAAAAAAAGAAAAAAGAAAAACCGAAUAAUGUUGAAUUUUUGUGAGACCGAUUUUCCCAUUUUCAUACCCAUUUUUUUUUUUUAAAUUUUCCCUCAUAGUGCAAAGAAUUUUGCCUUAGUGCAAAGAAGAGGCGAGAACGCACAAAGAACACACUAGAACACUCAUUGAAAACUUGAAAAGCAUUCUAAUUUUUUUAUUUUUUUGUUCUUAGAACAGUGGCAAAAACACAUAGAAUACCAAUAUUAAUAAUUUUGAUCUAAUAUUAAUAAUUAUAAUAAAUAAUAAGGGAAGUUAUGGUAUGAAAGAGUUUGCUUAUAGGAUAAUUGUUGGAUUUGUUAAAAAAUGGAAAUUUAAUAUUAUUUUCGCAAGCAAACUGGUUAAUGGAUUUUUACUUAUUUAUAAAUUUAUAAAUAUAAAAAUUGACGAUAGAAUAAUGACCAUUAUGGUGGAAAACAAACAAAUUAAAGAAAUAAAAAAGACAUAUAACUUAUUUUAUAUAAAAGGUAAUUCAUUUUUUUAUAAGGGUUUUCUACGUAGAAGAGUUUUAUUUAUAGGGAUAAUUUGGGUAGAAAAAGUUAAAUUUUAUAUGAAGAGUUUUAUUCAUUUUUUAAAUAGUCAUCAUGUUUCAUGAAAAGGCAUAGUUAAAUUUUUCACAUUUAUUAAUUUAUUUAAAUAUUUUUAGUUUUCUAUUUAGUUUGUCAUUGUAGGUAAUUUCUAUGUCAUUAAAGUAUGAUAGCCCUUUGGUUCUUUAGAAUAAUAUAAAAGAAAGUAUACCCACUAAAAGACUACGAUCCUCUUUUAAGUUCUCUAUAACUAGAUGUAAUUGAGAAUAGUGAGUUUUUCAUUAAUAACCACCAGUAUUUUCUAAUCGGAUUGGAAUUGUUCCCCCAAAGUGAAUGCAACCGAUUAGGAAUACGAUCAUAGAAUAGGAUACAAUAAUUUCUUAAUCCAUGAGGGUCAUUGUUUUCCCAAGAAGAAAUUUAGACCAUACCACCAGAAGUGGUGAAAUGAAAUGAAAAAAAAAGGGUUAGGUUUGUAGUAUAAGCCUACCAAAGUUGAACAAAAAAUCAUUGUUGAUGCAUGCUAGUCAUACGAUCAAGCAUUUCAUUGACUUUUACCAAAAUUAAAAGAAAAAAAAUUAGUAAAUAGAAGGUUAACAUAUCUAGAUUAUUAUAACUUUCUUUAGAAAUCCUAAUGAUAAAAUUUACUAAUUGAUUGGUGAUGGAAAAAAUGUUUAUUCUCAUGUAGGAUCUUUACUUUCUUAUGUUGUGUCUUUUUAUCUAAUAUAGUACACAUCAUAUUUGCUAAUAAAUGUUUAUGUUUUAUUUACAUAUAGUAUUGAUUGCUUAAUAAGUAUAUUCUAAGUUGUCUAUCUCAUUAAUUGUACAACAUGUAAUAAUUGAUGUCAUUACCAUAUCAAUUUAUGGAAACUUGAUUGAAAGCUCUUGAAGAGCUUAUAUUAUGUCACUAGUUGAUCAAUGUCAUUACUACAUAUAUGAAUUUAUAAAAAUCCGAUUAAAGGCUCUAGAUGAGCUCAUACUAUGUUACUAAUGGCACACGAAUCCAUAUGAAUGAUACUUGACAUUCUAUCAAAUCUAGAAGAAUUUGAGAUGACCAACUUGGUCCCCCAGGGUGAACAAUGAUGCAUCAACUCCUUGAAAUAUGAAAUGGGGAUUCAUUAAAGAACUAGAAGUUUCUUCAACUAGUGACUAGUAUAUUUGAACCUUUGAAGGAUAUUAUUACGUGUUAUGUAAAUUUCUAGUUUAAAGAGACAAUUUCCCACCAUUAGGGGGAGGCAAGUCAAUUCUAGAAGAAUGGCGAGACAUUACAUGGUCUGUACCCUCUUUGUCUCAUCUACAUCCCCAACAAGGUAGUUUGAACUAGAAGUUCAAAGGAUUAUUCAUUUGUAAGGACUUGCAAAUUAGUUACCUAAUGUUUUCACAAAUAUAAAAAAGUAACAAAGUCACACGUGUCGGCUGUGAAUACCCUGACACAUAUUGAUGUCCCAGAAGGACGAUUGAAAAAUGCCAUAGCAAGUGAAUCUAAUACACACUUAAAGCAUGGUAGACCUGUUGGAUCAAAUGAUUCAGUUCCUAAAAAAAAAAAAAAAAAAGGAACAACAUAUUAAAAGUUUGGUACUCUUGAAGAGCUUACAAAUAUGAAAGGGUCAAAUGAUGAAAACCAACUUGUUAAACAGUUAGCCCCUGAAGAGACACAAAUUGAUCAAAUACCGGUAUCUAGAAUUGAAGAGAUCUCAAUGAGUCACACGAGAGAAACAAGGAACCACAAUGACAUCAUCAUAGACAAUAUAUUUGCAUUCCGAGUAGCUAUAGAUCUCAUGAGAAAUGAUGAAGAUCAAAAACCACAAAUUGUGGGUGAAUGUCAAAAAAGGAAUGAAUGACCAAAAUGGAAAGAAACAAUCAAAAUAGAGCUAAACUCGUUAGCAAAACGAGAGGAAUUUGGACCUGUAGUUCAAACACCUAGAAACAUAAAGCUGAGAUCAAGUACUAGAUCUCAGCGCAAUCGGUGUAAAAUGUACCUUGUAAAUUGUACUAGACUAGGCAUAGCAUUUUCUGUUAACUUGCUUGCAAGAUACAGUUUUGCCCUAACUAGAAGGCAUUGGAACGAGAUUAAACAUAUAUUGCGAUACCUUUGUGGAACAAGUGAUCAUGGCUUAUAUUAUUCAAAAGAAUUAAAAUUGCAAUUGAUUGAGUAUGCUAAUGUAGGAUAUAUUUCAGAUCCCCAUAAAGCUCAAUCCCAAAUGGGAUAUGUCUUUACUUAUGGUAGUACAAAAAUAUAUUGAAGAUCAAUCAAGCAAACAAUGGUAGUCAUCUCUUCAAAUCAUUCAGAAAUUCUUGCAAUUCAUGAAGCAAGUCAUGAAUGUAUAUGACUAAGGUCAAUGAUUCAACAUAUUCAAGAAACAUGUGGACUACCUUCCAUAAGAGGCAAUACAACCAAAUUACAUGAAGAUAUUGUUGCUUGUAUUGUGCAAAUUAAAUGAGGAUUCAUAAAAGGUGACAAAACUAAGCAUAUCUCCCCUAAAUUCUUCUACACCCAAGAGCUCUAGGAGAAAGGUGAGAUUGAUGGUCAGGAGAUUCUGUCAUGUAAUAAUCUAGUAGAUCUAUUCACAAAGGCGUUACCUUCGACCAUUAUGAAAAGGUUAAGGUAUGAUAUUGAAUUGAAAAGAUUAAGAGAUCUACUAAUUGAAGAGUUGAAGAAAUCAUAAUCAUAUGUACAAAAGGGGUAGAAAGUUAAGAUGUAUAUAUUGCACUCUUUUUUCCUUUGUCCACGUUUUGUCCCACAGGGUUUUACUAGCAAGGUUUUUGAUGAGGUAGUUACCAUAUCCUUAUGAUCAUCCAAGGAGGAGUGUUUUAAAAUAUGAGAUUUUGUACCACUAUGGUAACUUGUGGAUGAUCAUCCAUAAAUAUUUUUUGUAACUCCCUAUAAAAUGGAGGAACCCUUAAUGAAAUUCUAUUGAGUUUUCCUGUGCAUUUUAUCAUCUUUUUCUGUUUUCUUCUUCCUCCACUUUUACAACAUUAUCUUAUACAUUAAUUUUAAUUAUUUUAUAUUUUUUAUACAUUUUCUUAUAAAUGAGAUUUAUUUUAUAAUUCAUAUAUUUGUUUUUUUAAUUUAAUUUAGGACUUUUAUUUAUUACUUCAAAUAAAUUUAUAAAAAUUAUGGUAAUUCUAAUCAUAAUAAUUUAAUGUUUGAAAAUUAAUAUAAGGAAUUCUCAAAAAUUAUUUUUAGUUUUUAAUAAUUAAUAAUGAUUAUCAAGAUUUAUGAAUUAUGUUUAUCGUAUUUGAUGAGACAUUUAAAUGAAAAUUCAAGAGUUAUAUAUAUAUAUAUAUAUAUAUAUAUGUUUAUUUCAUAAUCAAUUUUAGAUAUUUUUAAAAUUAAUUAAAAUAAUAUAUAAAGAUGUCAUAUGCAAUUUAUCUUUCCAAGUUCUUCUUCUUUCAUAUUGUUGUUUUUGAAAUCACUCUUUUAAUCUAAAAUAAAAAAUAUUAAAAUAUUAAAAUAAAUCAUCCAAAAAAAUCAUGUCAUUAAUUUGAUUUUUAAUUUAUUCUUACUCUUGUCAAUAAUAAAAAAAUUAAAUAAGAAUAAAAAUAAGUACUAAUAAAUAUUUUAAAAUAAAUUUAAAAUUUAUUUAUUUACAAAAUAAUAUGAAUUAUAGACAAAAUUAAUAUAAUGGAUAUACUACAAUUUUGAAUCCCUAAAAAAAAUCAAUCCUACAAAAUAAUGUUCAUUUGUUUAAUCGAAAUUGAAUGCUUCAUAAGAAUGAUGAAAGAAACGAGAGACACAAUGCUGGAGAAUGUUGAAGAAGGACAUGAAACACAAAUCUGUUAGAGUGAGGCACAACACUGAUGAAUGUUAAAGAAAGACACGAAACACAAAUGAUAAUGGAGCAAGUGUCAAGAUUACUCUUAGGGUUGUAGUAUCUACAAAAAUAAAAUAGCACCAAACAUCAAACUCUUUACUAACUUAUGUCAUUUUGUGAGUAAAUAGUAUCGUAGAAAGACAAAGAGAGAAAAAAAAUAAAAAUAAAAACUCAUAAUGGAAUCAAAUAAUAAGAAAGCAAGAGAAAGAAAAAUAAAUUUCACACCCUAUAGGUUGAGAACAUGGGUUCCAUGACCUUCGGGUUGAAAACAUGAGUCUUAUAAAUAAGAGAUAAAAUUAGAAGACAUUAAACAUGAAGUUGAAAGGAAAUUGAAUUCUUAGGGUUGACAUUGAAAAGACAUCAAAUAUAAAGGGAAAUAUGAAUUGAAAAGAUACCCACAUUUAUUGUCUUUUAACAUUUAUUGAUUUAGUGAGAGAAAAGAUUGAUUUUUUAAAUCUCAUACUUUCAUGGAGGUGUUUUUUUUUUCCACAACUAGUUGUAUUUUUUAAUAAAAUUUUAUAAAAGAAAUAGUUAUCUAUUUAAAGAAAUAAAAUAAUAUUCAAAAUCAUAAUUUAAAAAUACAAUUUUAUUAUAAAUUUAUAAAUUAUAGUGUCUACCCUCCAUUUUGUCCCCUAACACAUAUUUUCUCAUUUUAUUUUCUUUCACACCAUGCUUAUUUUUAGUAUGUGUUUAAGAUCCUUCUUCCUUGAUCAUUCAUUGUCCCUUAUUGGUUUACAUUUAUUUGAUUCAUUGUUUAUUUUUUAGCCACAUUUUGGAGGCCAUUUAGGGGGUAAUUUCGGGUCCUUCCAACUUGAGUUUUAGAGACCCCUUAAGCUUAGAUUUUUUUUUUUGUUUUGUUUAAUCUCAGUCUUAGGAGAGUUUCUAAGGUUUUUUUAGUUUUUAGAGAGGCCUAGUAGCUGGCUUAGGAUGAGGACAUGUGUUCUCAUCUUGACUGCUUCACUUUUAAAACACCCAUUUUUUUUUCCUUCUCUUUUUGCCAUAUUUGGGGGAGACCGUCUAGAAACCUCUCAGGAGAGGAGCUUUUCAACAUGUUUUCUUUUCUUUUUUUUCUUUUAUUUUAGGCGAGUUGCCAAGAUGAAGGAGGAGAGUGAGUUGUUAGUAGUGCUUUUCUGCAGGGGGGAAUAUUCUCUGCAUAAGGGUGGUUAUAAGAGAGAAAAAGACACUUUUUUUUUUUUUGUGAGCUUCAAGAGACGUUUUGAGCAUCAGAGGAUAUUGGGAUUAUCAUGAGGAUUUAGGGAGGUGGGAGUGAGAGUUUGAGGAGAAAGAAAACAAGAGGAAGGGAAUGAAACAAAAAAAAUGAGCUAAUGAAUUUUGUUUGUUUUUUUUUUUUUUUUUCUGGUUUUUAGGAGAGAACGCAACUAGCUUGAAGCCAAAUAGAUUUCUAUUUGAGAAAAUGAUCAUAACAUAAGGUUAAUAUGAGUUUCAGUUCUCUAUUUUCUCCAUUGUUUUAUUCUCCACUUUGUUGGUUCCUUUGCAUUGCCCGGUUUGAGUGUGGAUAUUAGGCUACACAUUUAGUUUCUUUUACUAAUCUUUAAAAUGAUUAUAGAUUUGUUGUUAUAUUGUUUAUCUACUAUUCCUCUUGGUAUUGCUAGAAGGUAAUCUCACUCUGUUUUAAUUCUACUAUGAAAGGUUUGAGAAUCAUGUCCACAUUCAUAUUUGACAUGGUCUCUCCUACCUACUUUGCAAGCUUACUGAUAAUGAAGUGAAACUUUAUUUAAGGGUCUAGUGGCUUGGUUUUUUUUAAUUUUUUUUUAAUUCUUUGUUUUUAUGGUUGUUUUCUUCUUGUUGUUUUCCUCUGUUCUUGUUGUUCAUCUUUGUCCUCUACUAGUGGUUUGUCUAGAGUUUUGUCCAGAGGUUUAGUUAUCAGUAGUCAUGAUUGAUAGAAGAAACAAAUAAGUUGUGUGAAGAAUGCAAUCACGAUUGAUAGGAGAAACAAAUAAGCUAUGUGAAGCAUGGGUUCCAUAAUCCCUUAUUUCUCCUCUUACAAAAGAAAUGCAUUGUCAACCUUCAGUAUUGGAAAGUGUCUUAGGGCCACAUACAAUAAUCAAUGGCAAACAUGAAAACCAAUUUCAUGGCUUUACGGGAUGGUUUUACCAUUAACUAAAAUGCUAGGGUGAUGGUCCUUGUGUUAGACAAGAUAUUUUAGAAGAACAAAAUUAGUUUUAGGUUAGUUUUAGAGUUAGCUGAAAAAUAGAAUUAAUUAGUCUUCAAAAAUUGCUUUGUAAACUCUCCUACAUCUCCUUUGUUCUACUCUGUUUUUGCUUUCACCACAUUUUAUCUCUCAUCCAAACUCCUUAACAUGGUAUCAAAGCCAUAAUAUCCAACUCAGUCACCCAUUAACAACUGAUGAAUCCUUCUUCACCAUUCUCCAACUCUUUUAACUAUACUUUGUCAAUAAAACUAGAUCAAGAAAGUACUUGAUCUAGAAAUCUCAAAUUACACGAAUAAUUCAAGUACAUGAUAUGCUUGGUUCAUUGAUGGAAUGAGUAAAUGUCCUCUAGAAUUCAUUAACGAAGAUCCAAGAGCCUUUGAUUCUUGCAUAGUCACUAACCAAGAUUAUGUGUUAUGUCAUUGACAAGAUCAAAUUUUGUUAAGUUGGUUAUUAUCAUCUAUUUCUGAAGAGGUGGUGGCCCAGGGGAUUAGUUGUUCCAUGUCUUUUGAAAUAUGGUUUAUGCUGGAAAAUUUUUUUGCUUCUUAGUUGAAGGCAAAAGUAUUACAAUUGUGUAUCCAACUCCAAUCAAUCAAGAAAAAUUCAUUGACAACGGUUGAAUAGUUUGCAAAGAUAAAAAGAGUUACUAAGAAUCUUGCAGUUGUUGGGCAACCAGUCUCCAAUGAUGAUAUGAUAAUGUACCUUCUUCCUGGGCUUGUACUAACUAUGAUCCAAUUUUAGUAAGUGUUACCUCCAAACUUGAUUCAUUUUCUCUUCAAAGAAUAUAGGUUAUACUACUCAAUCAAAAAACACGCUUAGAACAACUACAUUUAGAAAACUCACUUGAGUUUCAACAAACUGUUGUCAACAUUGCUUCACAUACUUCUUUCAAAGGUAAUGAUCCAAAAGUUUCAAUAGGUGGUCAUACCACCAUUCCUCAAAAUAUGAGAGGGUUUCAAAGGUGGUCAAAUCGAGGAGAUCGAGGCAAUAGAUACAACUUCUCACAACUAAUUUGUCAAGUUUGUGGCAAACUAAGUUGUAUCGCCCUCACAUGCUACUAUUGAUUUGAUCACAAUUACCAAUCUCAAAACUCUCAGAUUUUUAUCUUAAUUACUUCACUAGAAAUACUGGUUGAUCUUGCCUGGUACAUUGAUAAUGAGGCAAAAAAUCAUGUAACAGAUGAGCUAGGAUGUGUGCAAGCUUCUACUAAAUAUCUUGGAAAUAAGAAGUUGACUAUAGACAAUGGCCAAGGUUUGCCCAUUCAACAUAUUGGUCAUUUCUUUUUAUCUACUUCAGAUAAAACUAUUCUUCUUAAAAAUAUAUUGCAUGUUCCAAGCAUUAUUAAAAAUCUUUUAAGUAUCUCAAAAAUUGUUUGCAAUAAUGAUGUUGUUGGGAUUGAGCCCCUAAAAACAAAAAUAAUGUUAGAAAGCUACACCUAACUAUCUCCUUGUUAUCAUUUUGGUGUAUUGACAUUAAUUUGAGCAUUCAGCCCAUGUCUCUUACAUUGUACAUGACUUGGGUGCACUAGGAGUUGCAUAGAAGAUACAAGUCAUGGGUUCCUUAUAAGUAGAUAAGUUGUCCACAGUUAGUUCAUGGAUUUGGGCAAUCCAGUAGAAACUGUAGUGCACCACCUCCUGAUUGGAGGGAUGACUUUCCUAUGGUGAGUGCACUAGUGUAUGUGAUGCACAUUAGAUAAGACCUAAGAUGAAUCAUGAUGCAAGGUUAUCAAUUGUCAUGAUUCACAUAGCUAUUAUAAUAAAUGAACUUUCAACUUUGAGAGGAUAUUGAGUCUAUGUCAAAAUCAACAGGAGGCUUUGACCUAUGGGUGAGACCCUAAAAUGGUCAUAUAUCUCUAUGGAUUGGGUCACUAUUAAUGGAGGCUGGUGGCAACAAGUAUUCUUAAUAUAGGCACCAUCACAUCUCUUGGGAUUGAGACCGUGUAUCCUCUUGGGUGAUCCAAAGGACAUGUGAUCAUGAAAUUUGUGGUCAUAGUAAUUCCUUUAGCAGAAUUUGACAUAUGGUCCUUAGAGUUAGAGUUUGUUAGUUGAUUACUUAAUAAGUGGGAUUCGUAACUCAAGGAUUUGAGAGGUAAUCUUGAUAGGUGAUAUCACUACCUUGUUAGAUUAUGAACACCAGUUCAUGGGGAGUCUGGAUGUAUUAGAUAGUAAGUGACAAGCCUGAGCACUUAGUGUCUUAUUUUUAUUUACCUAGGAUACUAGAGUUUAGUUAAUUCUUUAUAGUGGGAUGUUGAAUCAACUUCAAAAUUGGAUUCUGAGGGAUCCAAUACUCUUAUGGGUCCCAUUGGUCCUCGCUCUAAGCUCAUAUAUCUUGUUGUCAUAGAUUAUGAGGGUCGGAUUGACUUUACAUUCACUUUUGUGCACAAGGGCUUUUUGAUAAUUAUAUAAGGUUGCACAAAGGUAAGUGAACAAGAUCUUGAGAUUGGGCUAAUUGAUUAAUUAGUAGGCCCUAUUGGGUUAAUUAAUCAAUUAUGACCCAUUUUGGGCUAGAUUAAGUGACCUAAACCCAUAUGAGCUCAAGUCACUUAAGCCCAAUUAGGAUCCCUAUAAUUACCCCUUAGGGAUUAGGGUUUUUAUAACUUUGGUCUUCCACUAUCUAAAGAGAAAGAGAGUCAUAGCCUCCACCCUCCUUUCCUCCUCCACCGGAAGUGUGCCAAGAACAAGGUUGAGUCAUCAAACGGAAGAUCAUGGGUUUACGAGACUUCCAACAACUUUAAGGUUGUCUUCAAUAUUUUAAAUUUAAGGCUUGGGAACAUCCAAACCUAAAGGUUAGUACUUUAAACCUAAAAGAUCAUUUUUUAAAAGAUUGGUAUUGCUUUGAUUCCUUACAUCUAAGAUGCCAAUGGAUGUGUUUUUUGAAUUUCAUGCCAUUCGGUGCUUACUCAAGGACAAAAUCAUGAGGAAAAUUCUACUUCAAGGGAGAAUCAAGAAUGGACUAUAUCAUCUUCAAGGACCUAACUUUAUUACUUCAAAAGAAGUUGAAAAAAAAAUUCAUAUGGAAUAAAUGGUACUACUCAAAUAAAGAGGAAAACAAACUCCCCUCUAGAUCAAUUGAAUUCAUCUUUCAACAAUCUAUUACAUAAUGACCCAAAUUGGUUUUCAAAUGUCAAUGUUCCUCAUAUAACUAUAUUGCAUUGAAUGUUCAAUAUGAAGACUUAAGUACUUGGCAUAAUAGAUUUGGGCAUCCUUCUCAUUGUGUUCUUCAUCAAAUACUCAAGAGAUGUAAUAAAUCACAUAUUAGUGAGAAAGCCGCUAGUAAAUUUUGCUUUGCUUGCCAAUAUAGAAAAUGUCAUGAAUUGAAUUUUCAUUCAUCACCUACAAAGACUAGUGAACCUUUAGAACUUAUUCACUCAAAUGUUUAGGGACCAUCACCUCUUCUCUUUACCGAAGGAUAUAAAUAUUAUGUUAGUUUCAUUGAUGAUUUCACCUAAUAUACGUGGAUUUUCCUCCUUAAAAACAGAUCUGCAAUACCUACUACAUUUCUACAGUCCAAGAAGUUUGUUGAGAAUCUACUUGAAGAAAAUAUCAAAGCUUGUAAAUAGAUAUGGGUGGUGAAUACAAACCAUUGACACAUUUCUCAAUGACAAUGGUAUAAUGUUGCAACAAUUGUGUCCUUCUAUGCAUCAACAAAAUGGUUGUGCGGAAUGAACACACAGGAAUAUUGUUGAACUCGACUUAACAUUGUUGUCCCAAGCCUUCAUGCCACUUAGUUUUUGGUGGGAUGCUUUCAACAUUGUAGUUUACUUAAUCAAUAGGUUACCUACAUUGAUAUUGAAUAAUCAAUCUCCCAUGAGAAAAUUAUUCCAUCAAGAACCUAAUUACUUUUUUCUCUACUACUUUAGAUGUGCCUGUUUUCCACACAUCAGACCAUAUAAUAAAAACAAGUUUGAUUUUCAUAUACUCAAAUGCUUGUUUGUGGGUUAUAGUAAUCUACACAAAGGAUACAAGUGCUAAGUCCCUCCAAGAAAAUUUAUAUAACACACAAUGUGGUAUUUGAUGAACAAACAUUUCAUUUUUUCAUGGGAUUUUCAAUUAUCCUGACUUUUGGAUCUUAUAAAAAAUCUAUGAGUACAACCCAAACGCCAAAUCUUACUGUGAUAUUACCUCAGCUCAACAAACCAAGACCAUCUAUUGUUCAAAAAAGCAGCCUAAAUAUUGAAAAAAAUUCUACAACUACUACUUGCAAAAAUCAGUUUACAUCUUGCACUACCAAUGGAAACUCAAGUGAACCAACUCAGACUCUUACAUUUGACGCUUAAAAAAAUUAGUCUACAUUUCAUCCAAUUCCUCAUUGUGACUUGUAUACAGAUUUGUCUAUUCCUACCUUGAAUACACAUCCAGUGACUACAAAAUCAAAGGUAGGAAUAUUCAAACCAAAGCUAUUCACAGUUGAAAGCACAACAAAACAACUUGAAAGUGAACCCAAUAGUGUUACAAAAGCAUUGCAAUCUAACAAGUGGAAAAAAGUUAUGGAACCAAAGAUUCAGGCAUUAAAUCAAAAUCAAACAUGCUACCUAAUAUCUUGUCUUCCACACUAUAAUGUCUUUGGCUACAAAUGGGUGUAUAAAUUAAAAUAUAACCCAAAUAGAUCAAUUCAACAACUCAAGGCAUGACUUGUGCCAAAGGGAUUUCAUCAAACACUAGGAGUUGAUUUUUCAAAAACAUUCACCCUUGUCAUAAAGCCAAUUACUGUAUGCAUCAUCUUAGCUAUAGUAGUUACAAUGGAUUGGAAGAUUCAACUUUAUGUUAAUAAUGUGUUUUUAAACGGAAGCUGCAAGAAAUUGUUUUCAUGUCUCAACUUGAAGGUUUUAUAAUUCCUAAGAAGCCCGAAUAUGUAUGCAAACUACAUAAAGCAUUGUACGAACUUAAACAAGCACCACAUGCUUGGUUUGAAAAAUUACGAAGUACUCUCUUCAAUUGGGGUUUUAAAGAGUUAGAGGCUGACACAUCAUUGUUUAUAUAUCGUGAAGUUUGCAACUCUAUUUUUUUUUUACUUGUGUAUGUGGAUGAUAUUCUCAUUAUUGGGAAUAACUCCCAACUUAGUCGUAAGACUUAUUCAUGACCUCAACUUCUAAUUUUCACUCGAGGACUUAGGGGAUUUUACAUGGGAUUCUAUAGGACCUUAUCUAACUCAAUCCAAAUAUAUCCUUGACUUGUUAAAAUGAACUAACAUGAAAUAAGUUAAAAGUUGCCCUACACCAACAAGUAUGGGACUACAACUAUCCAAUUCGAAAGAACAUAAAUUGAAUAAUGAGAAGUUGUAUCGCAACACUAUUGAAGCAUCACAAUAUCUCACUAUCACUAAGUGAUAAAUAUCUUACAUUGUAAACAAUUUGAGUAAGAUUUUACAUUGUCUUAUUGGUAUGCAUUGGAAAGCUUGUAAACAGGUUUAGAGAUACUUGCGUGGGAGUAUUAAUCAUGAUUUGCAUAUUCAAACUAUUAAGAUUGAGUACCUAAAAGCAAGACAUGAUGUAAAAAAGUUAAGCUUGACUAUUCCCUUGCUAUCCUUAUGGUGUAUUGACAUUGAUUUGAACAUUUAGUUUAUAACUCUUACAUUGUACAUGACUUGGGUGCAGAAGGAGUUGCAUAAAAGAUACAAGUCAUGGGUUCCUUAUAAGUAGAUAAUUUGUUUAUAAUUGGUUCAUGGAUUUGGGUAAUCCAGUAGAGACUAUAGUGCAUCACAUCCUAAGUAGCUAGUGGCUUUGAAAAGCCACUACUUUUAGGUUAUUAUGAUGGUGGUUGCGGACUUGCAGAUUUAGGCCUUGUGUUAUUGGAGGAUGCCCAUUGCAAGAAAGGCAAGUCACAUUGUUUUGGGACUUUAGUGGCCCAAUGAAGAUGGUUAAAGACUCCAACCCCUUGAUCCAUGACUUUUAUGGAUUGGGCCAGACUCAUUUCACUAAUCCAAGGGGUUUAAAUUGCAGAUUAAGGGAUGUGGGUUGAGCCUAACUGGUAGUGAGGGCUUUGUUAGCCUUGUACCCUUGGAGAGAGAUCAAUCUGAAGGUUGUGAGAAGGGAUUUUGGUUAAACAUUCUGGCAUCCCAAGAGAGGAGAGUCUGUCACAACAUUGCAUAGGCAGGAACCUCUAGAUGCUAUGGAUCAAGAGCUAGCUGUCUUUAGUUGAUCUUGAUGGCCUGAGGAUGGUUUGUGACGAACUAGCUCUCUCUGUGCUUGUUCGCUCCUCUUAGAGCCUAGAGGAGGGAGCACCAUUUGUAGAUGCCACCCUCUUGUUUGGAGUAGAAGGUUUUGCAGGUAAGUUAUCAUCUCCAGUUUGUUGGAUGGGGGAUGGGUCUUCUUCUGCAUCUUCUAUUUCCAAAGAUGAGGGUCCAGCCAAAAGCUUGGUUUUGUGGAGGGAGCAGGACAAGGGGCGGCUUGUAGUAGAAUGCAAGGGUGAUGGUUAUGGGAUGUUAUGUAUGACUUCCAGCAAGGGUUUGGUUGUGGACUUUCCAAAGAAUCACCUUAGAGAUGCCUAGAGUGUGAACCUAGAUUUGGGGAGUGAGGAGGUGGUGGCUUUGGAGAAUGGGGGCUCUAGGAGGGACUCGAUGGGAGAUGAGAGCCUCUACGAUUUGUCUUUUGGGAAAUUCGUCUCCUUUAGCAAGUUUUUUGAUUUGCUAGUGGAAGGUUAUGAGAAGGAAAUUGUGUCCUUAUUGAGAAAGUCGGAAGCUAAAAAGGGUUAUAGAGUAGUGGCUUUGAGUAUAAAAAGGAGGCCUUCCUCUAUGUCCGACUUUGAUAGGGAACUUUGCAAAUUGGAGUGCUUGGUCAAUUACAACAAAUCAAGUGGAAAAGGGGGGAGCCAGAAGUGGGGGUGGGAUAUGGUUUGUGAGUGAUCAUGAAGUUCGAGAUUUUUCUUAAUUCCUAAUUCAAUAUAUUACAUUGUUGUUUCUUAAAAAAAGAAAAAAAGAAAGAAAAGUUUUGAGAUUUUUUGAUCGUCAUUAGUAGGUUUAGAGGCUGGGUGUUUGGCUCUCCUUAGAAAUUGGAAGGAUAUGAGAAAAGGAGAGGGGCCAGAAUUGUAUCACUCAAUCUCAAGGUAAGGGAUUUAGAAAGGUGGGCUGGAAUUGUAAUUUCUAAGGGAGCAGAGGGUAGUCAUUUCAGGCAGUGGCAAGGGAGAGUGGAAUUAUUAACAAUGGGUAGAUGAAGUUUGAAUUUAUCCAAGGAUUCAGUAGGAUUGCAGAAAGUGGAUUUGGUUUGCAAACAUGAAAGGUCGUAUAGGUCUUUAUGUCUUUCUAGGCCUUUAGGGUGAUGUUUUUGUAUCAGGUUACGGUUUGUUGUUUCUAUUUUCCUUUUGCUUGCCUUCUGGCACUGUUUGUAUUCUCUGUGUAGUUUGUGCAACUUUACAAAGUGUUUUUAAUAUCUUAUCAGUUUACCUAAAAAAGAAAAGAAAGAGAGAGAGAGAGAAAGAGAGAGAGAUAUGGAUGGGAGGAAAGAAAAUAUAUCAAUCAGGAAGGCCAAAUUAUACUACUAUGCACCUCUUAUGACUGAUUGAUGGGUUUGUGCAAAUUAUAGGAACAAUACCAACAGUAUUGUCCUUUUGACUUGAGCCUCCAAAUUGCUUGGUUAUCUGAAGAUAGUUUUCAUUGAUGAAUACCUCUUGACCUUAUGAUCCAGAUUUUGGCAUAUGAAGUUAAGCAAGCUAUAACUAAAUUGACUUAUACUGUGAAUUUCUUGGAUUUUGAUAAAAGAGUGAAACCUAAAACUGUUAAUUCAGAUCAGUUUUGAAUGAACAUAAAAUGGUGCCUCUACUGUAAUGCCUGAAAUAUUUGAAAUCCAUUCAAUAGCUUCCCAAUGCUCUUCUUUUCAUAAAGUUAUUGAUGGCUCCCAUUGCUUGAGCUUUUUACCCAAUCUUGUAUGCACCAUGACAUACAUGAAAUUAGAAUUGCAAUUUGAGCCGGUUGAACCCAAUCCAACCUGAAAAUGCAAUUUCUGAUUAAGAAAUCUCUAUCAGACUUGAACCCUAUCCGUAUUUAACUAAUUCUAAGUUGAACAUUUGUCUAAUAAGGUGCCUGUGUCGAAACAAUUUUGUAGGAGAAAAUGGGUGAUCGCUUACCACGAAUGCUUGAGUGCAUUGUUUGAGGACAAUUAUUGUUACUGAGUUGUGUGCAAGCUGCCAUUAUAUUUUAGUCAGCAAUUGUUAUAAGAUGAAUGAUCAUGUUUUGUAUCUAUGGAAAUAAAGAAGAAAGAUCGUGAAAUAAGGAAGAAUUUUGUGAUGCAUCCGUUGGAUUUUGAUUAACAUAUUCUUAAUUUACAUGACACAAAUUAACACAUGCUUGGUUUAAAAGCUCACAUGGGAUAAGGUAUCUAUGGAAAUGGAGAAGAAGAUAACGAUAGAAUUUUGUGAUGCAUCUGUAAGCAGUGACAUUUCAUGGAUCGAUUUUGAUUAACACAUGUUUGAUUUAAAAGCAACGAGUGUUUUUCAAAAUAUUUUCUCAAAAAUACAUGGAUUUCAACAAAAAGGUAAAUAAUUUAACUCAAGAAAAAGUGAAAGUGAAAAUGAGGGACAUGAAGGCAAAAAAGAAUCAUUGAUUAAUAAUAUAUUUUAUUUAAUUUUAUAACCUUUUACAACUUGUUUUUAUGACGUAUAAUUAAUAUUUUAUAGCAUGCUCUUGUUUGUAUGUCUUAAACUCAACCUACUCAAAUCUUAAGCCUUCACCCCAAACCAAAAACCACAUUUCAUCUUCCUUCUUGUUACAUUUUUGUAAAAGUAUGUAGGCUGAAAAUUUCAUUUGAGGCAUACCAAGCAGAUAUUUCAAGCAUGAUGCUUUGAACAUUAAUUCUAUUUGUACCUCAUUUAACUACUUUAUACUUUCAACUGCUAUGGGCUUAGAUAAGUAUGCAACCUUUCAUUAAUUUUAUGACUGAACCAGGAACAAUGGUUAGGAGGGCUAUGGUUCAAUAUGCACUAAAAAAUUCAAAUAUAUAUUUUUUUAAAAUUUUACUAACAAAUUCCAAAGAAUAUUUCAAAAGAAUUAAAAAUUAGCACGAAAUCUGAGUAAGGAAAUUUUCAAUAAUUUAGUAGUUUUUGCAGUUAAAAAAUCACAAAAAGUAAAGACUUCAAUAAUUUCUCUAAUAAAUUUUGGAUUUUUUAAAAUAAUUAAUCAUAAAAUUAAUUAAAAAUGAUGAGAUUUUUUACUUAAAAAAUAUCCAUUAUAUAGUAACAUGAGGAUCACAUGAUUACUAAAACUAUAACUCUAAAGCUAGAUAUAAACUUCCUUAAUUUGAAUAAUUAAAUAGUAUAAUAUAACAUAAUUAUAUAGUUUGGUUAUAAAUAAGUUAUUAUUUAAUUAAAUCUCAAAUUCAAUGUGAUUAAAACACAUAUUUAAAAAAUGUUUAAUAAAAUUUUAAAUAAAAAAUUGAAAAUUGGAAAAAUUUAAUUUGAUUAGAAAAAUUAUAAUGAAAUGAAAAUUUUUACAUACACAAAAAGAAUGAAAAAUAAAUUAAGAUAAUAUAUGUAUGAAGAAAAAAAAAUGAUGAAGCUAAAAUAAAAAAGGAAAAAAAAAACUAGGAGUUUCAAGUAGGCUUUAUAAAAUAUUAUAUAUAUUUUAAAAUUUAUUUAAAAUUUUUAAAAAUUAAAUCCUUGAGAGUUAGUAUUAACUUUUUUUUUCCAAUAACAUUCAAAUGAAAUUAUUUUUUAUUUUUGAAAUUAAAAAUUAAAUUCAUAUUUUUUUCACUACUACCUCCGGGUUAUGUACGCCGUUUUAGUCAAGAUCUUCAUUGCAACCUCUUCAAAUUGAUAAAUGGUAGUUUUUUCAUUCAUACUUUCAUUCGUUCAUGUACAGAGUAUAUAUAGAGGGUAAUCGCCAUUCUAAAAAUGAGAAAGAAUGAUACAAGGAAAUAAUGAUAUAAGGAAAUAACAACUAAUAUCCUAACAUCUCAACUUUCCUAAUAUCUCAACGUUCCUAAUAUCUCAACUUUCCUAAUAUCUAAACAUUCCUAAUAUCUCAACACUGAAUGAUAUAAGGAAAUAAUGAUAUAAGAAAAGCAUUCCUAAUAUCUCAACACUCCCCCUCAAGUUGGUGCAUAGAUGUCACAUAUGCCUAACUUGUCUAAAAAAUUUGAGAACACUUGACUUGAGACAGAUUUGGUGAGAAUAUCGGCCAAUUGAUCUUUUGAUCGAAUCUUAGGCAAUUCCACAAUCUUAUCAUCCAACUUUUCCUUAAUGAAGAAUCUAUCCACCUCGACAUGCUUUGUAUGAUCAUGUUGUACUGGAUUAUGAGCAAUGUCACAUGCGGCUUUAUUGUCACAAAACAAUCGGAUUGGUUGCCUAGAUAGGUAACCUAAAUCCUGUAAGAGGAGUCUUAGCCAUAAUGCCUCACAAAGUCUUAGAGCCAUACCUCUAAAUUCCACUUCUGCACUUGAAUGAGCAACGACAUUUUGCUUCUUACUUUUCCAUGUCACAAGAUUACCACCUACAAAGGUAAAGUAACCAGAUGUAGAUCGCCUAUCAUCCACUGCACCGGCCCAAUCAGCAUUAGUAUAUACUUCUAUACUCUGAUGAUCAACAUUUUUAGGGAACAAAAUUCCCUUCCCAGGAGCAUUUUUCAAAUACCUCAAAAUACGCAUGACUGCAUUCAUAUGUUGCUCUCUAGGAUUAUGCAUGUAUUGACUCACUACACUCAAUGCAUAAGCAAGAUCUGGUCUUGUAUGAGCUAAGUAUAUUAAUCUCCCCACAAGUCUCUGGUAUCUUGUUGUAAACCCCCUCUUUUCAAACCAAAUGUAAUGGUUUGUUAUCAUUAUUUUAUCAUUAUUGUUGCUAUAAUUUGAAAUAAAUGGCACUCCAUAACCACCCGGGAGAGUGGAGUUUAUCCAUUUUUUUUGAAGUGGGGGGGACCUCCUUAUGCAUGAAAGUAGCCGCAUGGGACGUGUGGCAAAGAGGUAUGGCCGGCCAUGGUAGUAGUUGAGGAGGACAUGCUGGCUGAUCGGGGAAUAGGAGAACUGGUAAUGGCUUGCCGCGGAAGAUAGAAACAGGGGGUUGGAUAUAGAGUGACAGAGCAAGGCUUGAACGAGGAGGGAGCUAGAUAUCUGGGGGGAGGCUCGCUGGUGAGGACAGGAAGUAAAGGAUGGGAGCAAGCAGAAAGGAAUCAGAAGAUCCGUUCAACUUGAUUCUCUUGGUCCAGGUAUGGUCUUAGUCUAUUUUGUUUCCCCCGUUUUGAACUGCUCUCCCCUAUUUCUAGUCACGUGUGGAUUCCUUUGACAUUUGAAGACCACUUGUGCAUUUUGUUUUCUGUUUUGGAAUGCUCUGAGUUUGGAUUCAUCAUAGCACCUGAUUUUUGGAGAUCAUGCCCAUGUUUUCUUUUGGUUCCACCUAAACCCCUCCCAUUGACAUCUAUGGAACGGGGUGAGACUUAGAAGUUUAUAUAUAUAUAUAUAUAUAUAUAUAUAUAUAUAUAUAUAUAUAUAUAUGCACAUGCUCUGUUUUCUUCUCAUAUUUGUCUGUCAAGUUUUUUUGAAAUGCUAGGUGCCGCACUUCAUACUAGACAUCUGGGUCAAGGCGCUCAAUGAAAUUGUCACAUCCCUUUUCUCUGAGGAAAGUCCCAAUGAGGUCUUGAAGUCCUUUGAUUCUUUAUAGCCUUUGUUAAUGGAAAAUGUAUUUUCAGAGAGUUUUAGCGCCUCUCUGAAAAUGUAUUAGUUGAAAUAGAAAAAUAAUGUUUCAAAAAAUAUAUAGGCAAAAUAUUUCAACAUAAGCUAAUGGUACAUUACCUUAUAUUAUUUUUUGGGGUUUUUUUUUUUGCUCAUUUUUCUCUCAAUGUUUAUAAAUUUGCAUUGAAGAAAUAAGUUUUAUUAUUUUUAAAUUCAAUUUAGAAAAUGGUAAUAUUGUGAAAGUUACAUUCAUUUAUAAUGAUACCAACAUAUACUUACCUCAAUAAUAUAAAAUUAUUCUCUUUGAUGUUUCUUUUUCCAUAAAUGAGUUGGAAAUAAGAUAAGUUUUGUUUAUAAAAUUUCAAUUUAAUUAUUUUGGGCAAAAGCAUAUAAUAUAUUGAACAUACCUGUUAAGAAAGUUGACAUCCUAUGGUCUUUUUGAUGAGUUUGUUUAAUAAGUUUCACCUAACUGAGAAUAGUAUAAAGAUAAAUUUAUGUGUAAUUCUAUUAAUAUUGUUAUAUUAUCAAUAAAAAGAUACGUACCUGUGGACCUCACAUUUCGGGUCAUGCAUUUUCCACUUGAUGGUGAGCUCGAUUUUUAUUUGAAAAUGAUUUUAUUAUUAAAAAAAAAUGACUUGAAGUCGCCACUUAUUUUUGUUUUAGUUUUAAAAAGGUAAACAAAAUAAGAAAGAAAACCCUAAGUGUGAUUCCUUAUUUUGGAAAAGGUGGUCUAUGAAAAACCGGAUCAGGCUCGGGAGUCGGGUUACUUAUCGGGAAGGUACAGUAAAGACCGUAGCACCCCUCUAAGUCCCUAAAGUCAGGUCUCUACUAAUAAAAUGAAGUUGACGUGGCAAUCAAUAGGAAAAUUACUCAAAUCAGUCAUGCACAUAUAGGAAUCAAAACAUGUAUAGAGAAUGACUAGAAUGGGAGUGGAUGGGUACCUGGGCCACGAACGAGCAAUGCGCUAUCAUAAAAAUGGGGUCAGUGUAUAAUAAAGAGCACAAAACAUAUCACAUGCAUCACCAAACAGAAAUUAAAACUGCUCGAGGGAAAAUUGGAUUUUUUAAAUUUAUUUGAAAAUUGGAGUCUUAGAGAUUAUUUGAAAAUUAGAGUUUUGGAGAUUAUUUGAAAACUGGAUUUUUAGAAAUUAAAUGUAGGAAUGAGAAUUUUAGAAAUUAAAUUUGAAAGAAAUUAGAAUUUUGAAAAUUAUUUGAGAGUUUGGGAUUUUUAAAAAAUUAAAUUACAAAAUUGGGGCUUUUGGAAAUUAAAUUUUGAAAGAAAUCAGGAAAAUCAAUGGAUACUCAAAUCGGUCAUGCACAUAUGGGAAUCAAAACAUGUAUAGAGAAUGACUAGAAUGGGAGUGGAUGGGUACCUGGGCCACGAACGAGCAAUGCGCUAUCAUAAAAAUGGGGUCAGUGUAUAAUAAAGAGCACAAAACAUAUCACAUGCAUCACCAAACAGAAAUUAAAACUGCUCGAGGGAAAAUUGGAUUUUUUAAAUUUAUUUGAAAAUUGGAGUCUUAGAGAUUAUUUGAAAAUUGGAGUUUUGGAGAUUAUUUGAAAAUUGGAUUUUUAGAAAUUAAAUGUAGGAAUGAGAAUUUUAGAAAUUAAAUUUGAAAGAAAUCAGAAUUUUGAAAAUUAUUUCAGAGUUUGGGAUUUUUAAAAAAUUAAAUUACAAAAUUGGGGCUUUUGGAAAUUAAAUUUUGAAAGAAAUCAGGAAAAUCAAUGGAUACUCAAAUCGGUCAUGCACAUAUGGGAAUCAAAACAUGUAUAGAGAAUGACUAGAAUGGGAGUGGAUGGGUACCUAGGCCACGAACGAGUAAUGCGCUAUCAUAAAAAUGAGGUCAGUGUACAAUAAAGAGCACAAAACAUAUCACAUGCAUCAUCAAACAGAAAUUAAAACUGCUCGAGGGAAAAUUGGAUUUUUGAAAUUUAUUUGAAAAUUGGAGUUUUGGAGAUUAUUUGAAAAUUGGAUUUUUAGAAAUUAAAUGUAGGAAUGAGAAUUUUAGAAAUUAAAUUUGAAAGAAAUCGGAAAUUUGAAAAUUAUUUGAGAGUUUGGGAUUUUUUAAAAAUUAAAUUAUGAAAUUGGGGAUUUUGGAAAUUAAAUUUUGAAAGAAAUCAGAAUUGAAAAUUAUUUUAGAAGUAGAAACUAUGAAAAUUGAAUUAUAAAAAUUGGAAAUCUUGGAAAUCGUUCGAAGGCAAAAUUUUUAGAAGUAUAUGAAUAAAAUGAUAAUAAUAAUGAUAAUAAUAAGUAAGUAACGAAAUGAAUGCGAGAAUUAGAAUAUUGGAAAUUGAAAAUUAAGUUCGAAAAUUGGAAAAUUGGAAUUUCAGAAAACUAAAUUUGGAAAUCGGAAUUUUGAAGAAUUAUUUAAGAACAUAAUUUUAAAUAAAUGAAUAAGUGAAUAAAUAAAUGAAUAAAAUAAUAAUAAUGACGAAAUAAUAAUGAUUGGAUGAAUAAUUGCGGAAGUUAGGAUUUCGGAAAUUGGAAAUUGAACUUAGGGAUUGGAAAUUUUAAAAAUUAUUUAGGGAUGAAAUUUUAAAUAUAUGAAUAAGUGAAUAAAUAAAUAAAUGGGAUAAUAAUAACGAAAAUAAUCAUUAAACAACAAAAUGUGAAUAGUGGAAUUUUUUAGAUUAGAAAUUAAAUUUGGAAAACGGAAUUUUGAAAAAUUGAACUUUAAUGAUUGGAAUUUUUAAAAGAAAUAAAUAAAUAAAUAAAUUGAAUAAUAAUAAUAACAACGAAAAAAAUAUUUAAACGAAUGAAUGUGAAUAGUGAAAUUUUUGAAAUUUGAAAAAUUGUUUAAAGAGAGAAUUUUUAGAAUAAAUAAACAAAUAAAUAAAUGGAAUAAUAGUAAUAACGAGAAUAAUAAUUGUGAAAAUUGGAAAGUGAAUUUAGAAAUUGGAAAAUUGAAGAAUUAUUUAGAGGUGGAAUGUCAGAAAAUUAAAUUUCGAAAGUUGGAAACCCGAAAAAUUAUUUUAAGGCUGGAAUGUCGGAAAAUUAAAUUUUGAAAACUGGAAACCCAAAAAAAUUUAUUUUAAGAAUGAAAUGUCAGAAAAUUAAAUCUUGAAAAUUUUGUUUUGAUAUCAAAAUGUGAAGAAAUAAUAAAAAGAAAUAUGAAUUGUGGUGAUCUUCACGUGCACGUCUCCGGUAUAAUGGCCAUAAACCCAUUUUAUAUAUUCUUUUCCACCACCUUAGCAAACAGCUUUUGCAUGAAGAUUGAUGAGUGGGUGUGGAGGUUGGUAUGGCAAUGCAUGCGUGAGGCUUUUAAGGAUGGAAUUAAAUUUCAAAAACUGGAAACCCAAAUUAAAUUUUGAAAGCUGAAAACUCGAAAAAUUAUUUUAAGGACGGAAUGUCAGAAAUAUAAAUUUCAAAAACUAAAAAUUCGAAAAAUUAAUUUAAGGAUGGAAUGUCGAAAAAUUAAAUUUCGAAAACCGGAAACCCGAAAAAUUAUUUUGAGGAUGGAAUGUCGAAAUAUUAAAUUUCGAAAACUGGAAACCCGAAAAAUUAAUUUAAGGAUGGAAUGUCGGAAAUAUAAAUUUCGAAAAUUGGAAGCCCGAAAAAUUAAUUUAAGGAUGGAAUGUCGAAAAAUUAAAUUUCGAAAACUGGAAACCCGAAAAAUUAUUUUAAGGAUAGAAUAUCAGAAAAUUAAAUUUCAAACGCUGGAAACCCGAAAAAAAUUAUUCUAAGGAUGGAAUGUCAGAAAUAUAAAUUUCGAAAACUAGAAACCCGAAAAAUUAUUUUAAGGACGGAAUGUUGGAAAAUUAAAUUUCGAAAACUGGAAACAUGAAAAUUUAUUUUGAGAAUGGAAUGUCAGAAAAUUGAAUCUUGAAAAUUUUGUUUUGAUAUCAAAAUGUGAAGAAAUAAUAAAAAGAAAUAUGGAUUGUGAUGAUCUUCAAGUGCACGUCUCCAGUGUAAUGCCCAUAAACCCAUUUUAUAUAUUCUUUUCCAUCACUUGAGCAAACAGCUUUUGCAUGAAGAUUGCUGAGUGGGUAUUGAAAAAUGAUGACAUGGGCAAAGUAAUGGAGUCAGCCACUAGCAGGAAAUAAAUAAAAAAUAAAAAUCCUACAGACCCAUUUAAUUCGACAUCAAACCAGAAAGCAAAACCAUGCAGUAGAGCUCGCAUCAACUGGAUCACUCUUUCUUAUCAAACUUCUUAUCAAAUAAAAAUCCUCUUUGGAAUUCCCAUUACCUCAGAAGGAAACAAAAUUCUAGAUGAGUUGUGGCCCUAGCAGUAACCAUAUUUAGCUAAAAAAAAAACCCAGAGACAGUCCUUUGGUCUUGGUCCAGAUGAUAUCUUCAAUUCCAAGAAACAAAACUCCCUCGGUUGGUCUGGAUUCCCUUACAAGAACUUGGGAAACAUUCCGACAACAUGGAGAUGACAGUUUGAUAAGGGAUAAUCAAAUUCUCCAUGAUACGUGCUUCCUUCCUUUUCUGUUAGCAUAAUAUCCGCUUGUAUAGCUAUAGGGAUAUGCUCAAUAUUUGUGUUUGAUUCUUUCCUAUUAUGUAGGAGUUUACAACUGUAAUUAUCGUGUAUAUAUUAUGAAGAGUUAUCUCCUCAUCUGGCAAGGAGGAUUUCAGUCAUUUACCGUGUUUAUCAAACAUCUUUAUGGUAUCAGUUUCAAGUUUUCUUUUUUCCGAUUCUGACCAUGGCUAUUUCGUCUUCUUCACCUCCUACUCUUCCGCUCAAUACAAUGGUGCAUAUGCUCACCAUUAAACUGACCUACUCCAAUUAUCUAUUGUGGAGAAAUCAGUUCGUUCCUCUGUUAGCUAAUCAAGAGCUUUUUGGUUAUUUGGACGGUAGCAUCACGACUCCUUCUCCCAUGAUUACUGCCUCUGAUGGCACCACAAAAUCCAAUCCUGCAUAUACCUCUUGGCUGCAUACCAAUCAGACACUGCUCAGUUUACUCUAUUCUUCUCUCAUAGAGGAAUCUAUGAGUGAGGUCUUGGGUUUCUGUCACUCCCACGAGGCCUGGCAUGCGCUUGAAGUCUCAUUUUCGCACCGAUCAAAGACUCGCGAACUGCAACUCAAGGAUGAACUCCAGCUGACGCACCAUGGCUCUCAGUCCAUUGCUAAGUUUUCUCGCACCUUCAAAGGCCUUUACGAUCAACUGGCUGCUAUUGGACGUCCCAUUGACGACACGGAUAAAGUUCACUGGUACCUACGCGCAUUGGGACCCGACUACAAGAUCUUUUCUACCACCAUGAUGUCACAACUCCCUCUACCAUCCUUUGCUGAAAUUGUUUCGAAAGCUUUGAGCCAUGAAAUCUUUGAACGGUCAGUUUCCCAUUCAUCUUCCAACUCUGCUUAUUUUGUGCAGCAAACUUCCAAAGUGGCUGGUCAUAAGCAAGUGAAGCAUCAGUCUUCAGCUUCUCCUACACCAUUUGCCAACUCAAAGUCAUCAUCCAACUCCUUCGUCCACUGUCAGUUGUGCGACAAAGAGGGCCACUCGGCUAAACGUUGCUGGAAUUUCCUGAAACUCAAGAAGAAGCAAUCGGCUAACCUUGCUGAGGCUUUUUCUGCCUGCUCGAUUCAGGAUUUUAAUGACUCUGAAUGGUUCCCUGACUCUGGUGCAGCGUCCCACAUGACUAGUGACACCAAAGGUGUGGAUCAACCGGCUGUCUAUUCUGGUAAUGAACGUGUCAUGGUUGGUAAUGGUCAGUCCUUAGCAAUCUCUCACACUGGUUCCAUUUCAUCUCUUGUUCCGUCUAGUCCUCUUCUUUUAUCUAAUGUCUUAGUUGUUCCUGGAAUUAAGAAAAAUCUUAUUUCUAUUAGUCAACUUACUAAAGACAAUAAUUGUUGUGUUACCUUUUCUUCCUCUGGUUUUACCAUACAGGAUCGGGUCACAAGAGUGGUACUGGGAGUCAGAAGAUGUGAAAAUGGUCUCUACGUGCUGGAUCGUCGUCAUCAUGCCUUAGUGUCCACUACUUCUUCACCGCGAGCAUCUAUUCGUUUAUGGCAUACUCGCCUUGGUCAUCCACAUUAUCGUACUGUUGCUUCUCUUUCUAAAUUAGGAUCUAUUUCUUGUAGUAAUAAAUUGGUGAACAAUGAUUCUGAAAUUUGUGUUGGUUGUAGACUCGACAAAAGCCAACGUUUACCUUUUUCUUUAAAUAAUGAACGUUGUGCUAUGCCUUUUGAUCGUUUACACUGUGACCUAUGGAGUCCGUCACCAGUUUCUUCUUUUAAUGGAUAUAGAUACUAUGCGGUUUUCAUUGAUGAUUGUACUAGAUUUAGUUGGAUAUUUCCUUUAAAACACAAAUCUGAUUUCUUUGAUAAUUUCAUCAAUUAACAAAGUUUUAUUGAGACACAGUUUUCCGCCAAAAUCAAAUCAUUUCAGUGUGAUGGUGGAACUGAGUUUACUAAUAAUAAGUUUCGCUCUCAUUUGCAUUCGUGUGGCAUUAAUCUUCGUCUGGCAUGUCCUUACACUCCUAGUCAAAAUGGAAUUGCCGAACGUAAGCAUCGUCAUGUCACAGAAACAGGUCUUACUCUUAUGUUUCAUGCUCGUGUGCCGCUCUCCUCAUGGGUUAAGGCCUUCUCUACUGCCAUCUUUCUCAUUAACCGACUCCCGUCACCAUCUCUUGCUGGCAAAACACCUUAUGAGCUCCUGUUUGGUAAGCAACCCGAUUAUUCUAUGCUUCGUACUUUUGGGUGUCUUUGCUUCCCUUAUUUGAGAGAUUACUCACCUAAUAAAUUGUCUCCAAAAUCUACUCCUUGUGUCUUUUUAGGUUACAAUACCCUUCAUAAAGGAUUUCGGUGCUUAGAUCGUAAGACACAUCGUGUCUAUGUUUCUCGACAUGUGCAGUUUUAUGAACAUACCUUUCCCUAUAAUGGUGAUUCUGUGCAAAAUCUACCAUCUAACAUUGACUAUAUUCAUUUUUCUGAGUCUCAGGAAUGUGUUUCUAGUUCUUCUAACGUUAGUACUUCAGAUUCUUUGCCUUCACCAUCUUUCUCGAAUUCACUGUGUUUGCCUUGCAAUGAUAUUCCACACUUGUCUUCGACUUCUUCUCCUGGUCCGCAAGUUCCUCUUGAUGAGGACUCUCUCUUGGAUUCUGUUGUUACAGAUUCGACCACUCCUUCACUAGUUUCGUCUUCUCCUCGUGUGACCACUUCCAGCCAUUCGAUGAUUACUAGAGGGAAAACUGGUAUAUUCAAACCACGAUUGUAUCAUGCUAUGAAUAUCUCAUCUUCUUCUCAGUUGUUUCAGGCUCUUCUUGCUCUCAAAGAGCCACGAGGCUUCACGUCUGCUGCAAAACACCCUGAAUGGCUCUCGGCUAUGGAUGAUGAAAUUCACGCACUGAAGAAAAAUGAUACGUGGGUUCUUGUACCUCGUCCUCAACAUCAUAAUGUGGUUGGCUGUCGCUGGAUUUUCAAAACAAAGCUUCACUCUGAUGGGUCUAUUGAGCGUCAUAAGGCAUGUCUUGUGGCUCAAGGAUUUUCUCAAGUUCAUGGUCUUGAUUUUGGUGACACCUUUAGCCCUGUGGUGUGUCCUGCUACAGUCAGAAUCAUUCUAUCCUUGGCUGUUACUUCUGGAUGGCGUUUACAUCAGCUAGAUGUUAAAAAUGCCUUUCUUCAUGGCUUUCUCAACGAAGAGGUGUAAAUGGAACAACCGCCUGGCUACACUGAUCCACAGUUUCCUCAGCAUGUUUGUCGUCUAAAACGUGCUCUUUAUGGCUUGAAACAAGCUCCUCGAGCUUGGUUUCAUCGAUUUAGCUCAUUUUUGCUCAAACUUGGUUUUCACUCUAGUCAGGCUGAUUUUUCAUUGUUUGUCUAUCACUCCUCGCUUGGUACUGUUUACUUACUUCUUUAUGUUGAUGACAUGAUCAUCACUGGAAGUACUCCUUCUCUGGUUCACACCUUUAUUACUCGGCUUUCCAACGAAUUCUCCAUGAAGGAUUUGGGUGAUCUUCAUUAUUUUCUCGGAGUUGAAGUCCAAGCUAAUGAGAAGGGUCUAUUUCUCAGUCAAACGAAGUAUGCUCUUGAUCUCUUGCAACGUGCUUCAAUGAUUGAUGCCAAGCCUAUUUCUACACCUUUUGUUGUUGGACAGCAUCUAUCCGCCGAAGGGACUCUAUUCUCCGACCCUACUCUGUUUCGUUCUCUUGCCGGUGCUCUUCAAUACCUCACGAUCACCAGGCCUGAUUUGUCCUUCAGUGUCAACUCCAUUUGCCAGUUCAUGCAUGCUCCCACCGAGGAUCAUUUUCGUGCUCUCAAGCGUAUCUUGCGCUAUGUUAAAGGCACUGCUCAUCAUGGUCUUCAACUUCACAAACAGUCUACUCAUGAUCUUCUUGGCUACUCUGAUGUGGACUGGGCUGGAUGUCCUGAUACACGUCGUUCUACCACCGGCUAUGCUAUCUUUUUUGGAGCUAAUUUAAUCUCUUGGUCUUCUAAGAAACAAAGCACUGUCUCUCGUUCAAGUGCAGAAGCCGAAUAUCGCUCCUUAGUUGUUGCUACUGCUGAUAUUGCAUGGAUUAUUCAGUUGCUUCGGGACCUUCAUGUUACACUCUCAGUGCCACCUAAAAUUCUUUGUGACAAUCAAAGUGCAAUUUUUAUGGCAGUCAAUCCGGUUACUCAUCCUCGAUCCAAACAUAUUGCAAUCGACUACCAUUUUGUUCGUGAACUUGUUGAUAAAGGCACUUUGAAAAUUGAUUUUGUUCCUUCACAUCUACAGCUUGCUGAUUCACUGACCAAAGGAGUUACCAAGCCACAGUUCUAUCUCUUUCGAAGCAAGCUCAGCGUUCUCCCUUCUACCACGCUCACCUUGCAGGGAGGUGAUAAGGGAGAAUCAAAUUCUCCAUGAUACGUGCUUCCUUCCUUUUCUGUUAGCAUAAUAUCCGCUUGUAUAGCUGUAGGGAUAUGCUCAAUAUUUGUAUUUGAUUCUUUCCUAUUAUGUAGGAGUUUACAACUGUAAUUAUCGUGUAUAUAUAAUGAAGAGUUAUCUCCUCAUCUGGCAAGGAGGAUUUCAGUCAUUUACCGUGUUUAUCAAAACAUCUUUACAGUUGUUCAGUUAUACCAUUAUUUGUCACCUUGUUUUUUUUUUUUUUUUUUUUCAGCAAGCUUAACGUCUUUUCCAGUUCACUAACAUGUCUAGGAUGAUAUACUGCUAUUAGACAAUUCGAUAUAUCCGAAAUGACCUUCACGUUGUCCAGGUUCGAUGCAAUACUAAUUUCCUGUCUCAUAGGCAACCCAAACAUGAUACCCAACAUUCCAAAAGUGCACGAAACAGAGGAAGUGAAGAAAAACAGAGCAUAUACAAAUGAAAAAGAUACGAUUGAACUCAGCUCCAUUUCAUAACGAUCAAUGGGCUGGAUACAGGUGCCAUAGGAAGGAAGCAAAAAAAAAAAAAAAAUGAUUUUGAUACAUCAAGCUCGGGGGAGGAAACAAAGCAUCAGGCAUUGACAAGAAAGAUAGAAAAAAAAAAACACCAGAAACAAAACCAAAACAGAGCAUGCAUACAAAGGAUAGAUCCCUCAAAGCAAACAAGUGGCCUAGUAGUCAUACCUGGAUGUUUUCCUCAAGCCAAAAGUUUCCUGGCCACCCGCUCUGCUCUCCUCCCUUCCCUCUCCUGCUUCAGCCAAAGAACCCCUCUUUUAGAAAGAAUCCCCUCACCUCCAAAUCUCCCCCGUUUCCCCAUCUUCCUUAGCAAGCCACUACCUGAUCUCAUGUGCACCAUUCCGCCAAUGCGUCAUCCUCACCCACCACCAUGGGCAAGCCGUGCUCUUGGCCACCUGUCCAUGCAGCUUCUUCAUGGCAGAAAAUGGGUCCCUCCUCAUCUAAAAAAAAUGAAUGGAAAAUGCCCCCCCCCCCCCGGUGGUCCAAUAUGAAAUUAGAGUUAUUAUAAAUGACAUGAUGAUAAAAUUAAUUAAUUUGUAGAAGUUGAGAAAAUGAACCAUUGUUUCUUUUGUUUUGUCAAAAUGUUUUUGACCAUCAUCCAUAAAGUUGGCGAAUCAACUUUGACUGUAGCACCCCAUUUUGGACUAUAGAGUUGUAGCUUCAACUAAGAUUAGUUUGAUUAGGUUAGUAAUUAUAAUAUGAAUUAAAAACUUAAUAUUUGAAUAUUAUGUGUAAGAUGUAAUACCUUGUUUUUAGUCAUUGAUGGUACUUGUCCUUUUAUUGCAUGAAAACAAAUCUGAAUUGGAAAUGUUAAAGUGAAGUGUAAAUAAAUAGAAAUAUGAUCAUAAUUUAUGUUGUUGAACAUAGAUAACAUGGCGACACCGUUAAGUAGAUAAACUAAAAGAUAACAAUAUAAUAAGAAAUCUAACAUUAUUCGUUAUCAAAUAUUUUUUAUGAUUUUCUAUCCCUUGAUUUUGAAAAUAAAAACGUAGAUAAGGUAAAAAGCAACAAAUAGUAAAAAAAUAUAAAAGCAAGAAAAUGAUAAACAAUGAAAUAAAUAAGUUAAAAAUGACAAACCGUGAAAUACAUAAGUUAGUUAUAGUAAAAUUCUUUGACAAAUGAUUUAUAAAAUAUGUAUUUUUGUUUUUGGGUUAUCGCAUGAAAAAAUUAUUUAAAUUAUAUGUUAUUUUACUGAUAAAAGGUAAUUUCAUUAAAUAUUUACCAUUUCAUCGAAUUCUUUUAUUGAAUUAUUUUGUAUUGGGUUCUUUAAAUGUUGUUUCAUACAUAGAUAUGUGGUUAUUCAUGCCCAGGUUGUUUUCUAAAGUGUUUGAUUUUUAAUUAUAAGUGUAUAUUAAUUUUCGUGGAAUAAUCUUUAAAAAUUAAAUAAAAAUAAAAAUAUAUAAUAAAAAACAUAUUAUUUUAUAUUUUUAAGAAUUAUAGAAACAAUCCUUUAUUUCCUAUUGUUAAAAUUGCUUUCAAACGUAGCCUCACUACCGCAAAUUUUUUACACCACACAACGUUGUAAAUAACAGAGGGAACACAGUUUAGUUUAGUUGGUGUAGACACAUACUUUGUUGUAGCUUAUGAACUUGAAUAUUCUCAAGUUCUAACAAUUGUUAAAUUUAAAAUUAUGUUUUAAUAUAUUUAGAAGUCAACAUUGUGAAAAUAUUAUGAAAGAUAAUACUAUCGUUGUAAAUUUUUUAUUAAAUUUUGAAAAAAUGUAAUGCAAUUUGAAUUUUUUUUAAAAAAAUUAUAGUUUAAUAAAAAUAUCUAUGCACAUGUAUAAGUAAUCUUGUUAAGGUAAUUUAUGAAUUUUAAAAAAUAUCCUAUUUAAAAACUAAUCUAAUUAUACUAACAGACAAUAGAUGAAUUAUCCAAAAUAAUAAAAAAAAAUAAAAAAUAAAAACUAACAUUUUGUUUGUUAAUGCAUAAUAAUAAUAAAAAAAGAUAUUAUCAACAAAUAAAUACCUUGAUAUGUUUAAAAUGAGCGGGAAAUUAUUUCUUUAACCAUAAUUGGUCAUCAUUUUUUAUCUCUGAAAUAUGAAAAUAGAAACAUAGAUAAGUUAAAAACCAAUAUAUGAUAAAUAAAAAAAACUUGAUGAUAAGAAAAUGAUAGAGGGUAAAUUAGAUAAGUUCAUUACCUAAGAUGAAAGGCCAGUUUAGUAUCAAAUUCCAUGGGAGGUUGUUAUAAGAUAUGUAUAUAUAUAUAAUAUCAAAUGACUUAAAGUAGGAGAUAUUUAUUGAGGUUUAAUAUUAAUAUCAUGAAAAUAAAUGAAAGUCAUUAAUUUAAAAUUGAAUCAUUUUUUAAGGGAAAGUUUUGUUUGCAGGCUGCUAUUAGGAAGAUAUAUGGUUUUGGAAACCCAUGUAAAUGAAAUAUGAAAUGUCCUUGUUAAUGGAGAAAAUAUUAUCUUUCUCAUGCACUCUUUGCUGACUCCAAUUUAUAUUCCUAGAUUGCCCCUCCAUGCCUCCAUAUCAGCUACAACCUUGUCUCCAUAUCAGCAAGAAGCCCUCCAUGCCAAUGAGAGAGUGAAAAUUUUUAAAACAAAAAUCUAAAUUUGAAACCUAUGAAAAAUGACCCGACCUGACAACCAUCUCUAAUUUCCUUAAUCUGAAAUUUUCUUCUCUCUGAUUUGAGAGCAUUUCUCUUUCUCUCUCUCUCUCUCUCUCUCUCUCUCUCUCUCUCUCUCUCUCUCUCUCUCUCUCUUUUCCUCUCUCUCUCUCUCGGCUUCAUCACCCACAUAAUCCCAAGACCCAUGUAAAAUUUCCCAAAAAUUGUCUUAUUUAAGAGAAAAAAACCAUUAAUCCAAAACUCUAACUUGCAUGUUUCUUUCUUGUCCACAUAAAAGUGCAACGAAAUGGAGCAUUCCAUCCUAAGAAUGUCCAGUUAAAAGACGACUUCAAGAGGCACAUCUGUGAUUGUGAAUCUACUACAGCAGCGCGUACCAAAACGGAAAGGUGGAAUCCAAAAUAUUGGCUUUGUAAACAAGAUAUCUCUUUCUAUCAUUGAGUGACAUUUUGCCCUAACCCUAAACCGAAAUCUGAAGGUAAAUUAUUUUCAUUUAUUGUUCUUUAGUUCAUUUAUUUGAAAUAGAGCACAUCAACGUUUUGGAGUCGUUUGUGGACAUGAACUUUUGUGUUGGGUUGUGGGAACCAUAUUAUUCCUAAAUAAUCAUAUGACCCACAAGUCAUAUUGAACCAAGAUGGAACUUACAACAUAUAUGGUUGUAAGUCGCAUUGUUAUUUUGCGGACUGUACCUUAGGUACUACCUUAAUAGCCCUUAGGUACCACCUUAACCUACCUUAGGUACCACCUUAACCUACCUUAGGUACUACCUUAAGCCACCUUAGGCACUACUUUAGUUAAAGUUAGGUUGUACCUACCUAAAGCAUCGAACCUUCCUUUGUCACCCUUAGAGCAUGCCAUUAUGUGAUUCUUUUAUGUGGUCAAGUGGUUCGCCUUUGGUUUUUUGUGGAUUAUACCUUAGGUGCUACCUUAAUAGUCCUUAGGUACCACCUUAUUCUACCUUAGGUACUACCUUAAGGGACCUUAGGUACUACCUUAGUUAAAGUUGGGUUUUACCUAUUCGAUGCCUUGGACCUUCCUUUGUGACCCUUAGAUCAUGUCAUUAUGUUAUCUUUUGUGUGGGCCAGUGGUUCACCUUUGAUUUUUUAGGGACAGUACCUUAGGUACUACCUUAAUAGCCCUUAGGUACCACCUUAAUCUACCUUAGGUACUACCUUAACCGACCUUAGGUACUACCUUAGUUAAAAUUGGGUUUUACCGAUCCGAAGCCUCUAACCUUCAUUUGUCACCCUUAGACCAUGCCUUUAUGUGAUUCUUUUGUGUGGUCAAGUGGUUCACCUUUGGUUUUUUGCAGACUGUACCUUAAGUACUACCUUAAUAGCCCUUAGGUACCACUUUAAUCUACCUUAGGUACUACCUUAAGGGACCUUAGGUACUACCUUAGUUAAAGUUGGGUUCUACCUAUCCGAAGUCUUGGACCUUCCUUUAUGACCCUUAAACCAUGCCAUUAUGUGAUUCUUUUGUGUGGGCAAGUGGUUCACCUUUGGUUUUUUGGGUACUGUACCUAAGGUACUACCUUAAUAGCCCUUAGGUACCAUCUUAAUCUACCUUAGGUACUAACUUAGUUAAAGUUGGGUUCUACCUAUCCAAAGCCUCAGACCUUCUUUUGUGACCCUUAGACCAUGCCAUUAUUUGAUUAUUUUGUGUGGGCAAGUGGUUCACCUUUGGUUUUUUGGGGAUUGUACCUUAGACACUACCUUAAUAGCCCUUAGGUACCACCUUAACCUACUUUAGGUACUACCUUAACCGACCAUAGGUACUACUUUAGUUAAAGUUGGGUUCUACCUAUCCAAAGCCUCUGACCUUCCUUUGUGACCCUUAGACCAUGCCAUUAUUUGAUUUUUUUGUGUGGGCAAGUGGUUCACCUUUAGUUUUUUGGGGACUGUACCUUAGGCACUACCUUAAUAGCCCUUAGGUACCACUUUAAUCUACCUUAGGUACUACCUUAACCGACCAUAGGUACUACUUUAGUUAAAGUUGGGUUCUACCUAUCCGAAGCCUCUGACCUUCCUUUGUGACCCUUAGACCAUGCCAAGUGGUUCACCUUUGGUUUUUUGGGGACUGUACCUUAGGUACUAUCUUCAUAGCCCUUAGGUACCACCUUAAUCUACCUUAGGAACUACCUUAACCGACCUUAGGUACUACCUUAGUUAAAGUUGGGUACUACCUAUCCGAAGCCUUUGACCUUCCUUUGUGACCCUUAGACCAUGCCAUUAUGUGAUUCUUUUGUGUGGUCAAGUGGUUCACCUUUGGUUUUUUUAGGACUGUAUCUUAGGUACUACCUUGAUAGCCCUAAGGUACCACCUUAAUAUACCUUAGGUACUACCUUAACCGACCUUAGGUACCAUCUUAGUUAAAGUUUGGUUCUACCUAUCCGUAGCCUCUAACCUUCCUUUGUCACCCUUAAACUGAAAAUGCUCACUCAAACGUUUGGAGCAUAAGACAAUUUGUUCAUUAAAGGUCACAACAUUAAAGAAAUUGAGAAUUUUUGACACAUCAUAAGAUUUUGAAUAAAUUCUAGUUGAGAUGUAAAGCUAACAACUAUAUCUAUGGAAAUUACAUUUUAGCAUUUUCCAAAUUUAAAUUUAAGCUAAUAUGUACAAAUUUUGUCAAUAUAAGCUAAUACCUUGAUUCUAGUACAUUUAAGCUAAUAUGUACAAAUUUUAGCAUUUCCCAAAUUUACAUUUUGUCACUUAAACAUUUUGCCAUUUUGCACAAACUUAUUUAACCCAUCUUCUUCAUUCUAGUACCUUGAUUUUCAUUAAUCCUUGGAUCAACUCAUUUGACCAAAAAUAAUUUUGUGAAAAGACAUUUCAAACAAACUUUUAAUUUAAGUAUAUUAUAUAAAUCUUAUUUAAAAUUUUUGAAUGAUUUAAUUUUUCAUUUAAAAAUAUAGUUACAAAUUUUAUUAAAAUUAAUAUUUUCAUUUGUGGGUUUAUGGACAAAAAUUUAAGAUAAUUUUAAUAGCAAGUUAGAUAAAUAUAUGUAUUGACUAAUAAGAAUUUAAGUAUUAUUUGUUUUAUUGUUUAGGGUUGAAUGUAACAUCAGAUAAAAGAAGAAAAGGGACAAUAUAUCAUAUCCCAUGUUUGGUUAGUGAUAGAAGAAGAUAAGUUAACCUUACAACUUGUCAUAUCUUAUAUUCAACCAAACAUGGAAUAGGGUAACUCGAUAUUAUCAAUUGUUUAUAUAUAUAUAUUACUUAUCUUGCAAAAUAUUUUUUUUCGUUAAAAAGGAAAAUUAAAAAAAAUUAUAAAAUAUAUUAUUAAAUAAUAUUAAUAUAUUUAUUAUUCAAUAUAUACAAAAUAUUUUUAUAUAUUGAAUAUCAUAAUAUAUAUAAUAAAUUUUAAUUUAUAAAGUUUAAAUAUUUUAAUUAUGAAUAUUAUUAAAUGUAAAACAUAAAAAAUAUUGAAAUGUAAUAUAAUUUUUAAUUUAAACAUUGAAAAAUAAUAUAUACUAUAUCUUAUUUUUAUUCAUUUACAAAUUAAAUAUAAACAUAAUAUAAUAGACCCACUGAAUAUAAUAUUCAAUAACAUCAUAUCUUAUUAAAAAUCAUAUAUUUAAAUUUCCUAAUAUACAUAUAUAUUCUAUCCUACUAACCAAACAUAACCUUAAAAUAUUUUCAAACAUUUUCAUAACUUCUAUCAAUUUGCGUUCCACCCAAAUUUUGUUUUCUUUUGUUUCACAUUUUUCAUCCCAUAUUUUUCAUAUUUAUAUAAAUUCAAGUACCAACUUUUAAUACCUUCAUCAUUUUCAACAUUGUUGUAGAGAGUCAUAAAAAACUUAUUUAUUUUUAAUUAAAUGAGAUUCUGUCAACAUAUUUUUAAAAUGAGAAAUUAACACUGAUAUAAUAAUCUUAUUUUUUGUAGUGUGGCAUCUCAAAAUAUUGAAAAUUUUCUAGCAUUCGUUGUAAAAUGACUAAAAUCAUCAAAAAUAUUUUUCUUCACUUACAUAAUUAUUAAAUAAGUUUUUAUCUUUUAUUUUUAAAAGUAAAAAAAAAAAUUGAAUACCAAAAAUAUUUAGCAUUUAUAGAAAUUAGAAACAACAUUUAUAUUUUCUAUCUAAAAAGAGAAAAAUUAAAAGUCUCAUAUUGACUUACCUACAACAAAAAGGAUCCUAAAAUCAACCUAACAAACUUCAAACAAGCAAUAAUCAGCAUAAACCAAACCAUCUCACACUUCAACUUGCACUGCACUUACAAUUAACAAAACAGACCCAUAAGAAAACAAAAGAGCAGGAUGAGUUUUUUCAUAUUCUUGUUUGCCAACUGCGCUUUCAGGUGUUUUCUAAUAACAUAUUUGGUGGGGUGCUCAUGCAAUCUCCUUCUGUACAUGAUUUUGAUCAAAGAGAAAUGUUUUGCUUCUACCUUUUCCCUAGAAGUAACAUCAAUGGGAAGGUUCACUAGCUUUGCUUUAGAACUAGCUUUAUUUUAACUUUUCAUUUAUAAAAUCAUCCCCCAUAUUGGAAGUACUUCAUUUCUAUGCCUUCAAAUGGAUCUACCAAUAUAUGCCAUUUCUUUCAAAUUCAUUCUUUGAUCAUGUUGCAUUCAGGUUGUACAUUAAUAUCCUGUACUGAUGACCUUCUGAAGUGAUGUUGACAUUGAUCUUGACAAUGUCAACAAAUCACUAAAGAGAAGCGCAUGUACAAGUGCAAAAGAUAGGCACAAAUACUUUGCAAGGGCACACAAACACAAUAAUUUACAUGAGAGUUUGAUUUCAUUUGCCUGCAAAAUCAACCCAUUUUUACAGUUAUAGGCUUGCCUUAUACAUGUCCAAAAAGCAUACAAGACCAAUAAUCCGUUGAUUCAGACUUUGUCUAGGAUGACUACGUAUGGAAUAAAUAUGAGGAGUCACAAUACUGUCUGUUCAAACUCAUAAUAUUCAAAUAAUGUCUGUAUUAGACCCUAUUGGCACUUUAAAGAUUUCAAUGACUACGUAUCGGUCAAACUAGUGAACUAUGAAUUAGUAAUUUUUUUUUAUUCAAUGACUGAUCUUAUUCUAAAAACAUUGAUUUAAAAGAUUUCAAAUUAACACUACCUAAAGGCAUUGAUAUAUAUGUAGAGGCUUUGGGUGUCAAUUAAGCCUAAAUAUUUAAUUACAUCGCUUCUAGUAUUUAAGCGUGCACACGUGAUGCAACUUUUUGUUUGAAUGAUAUUACAUGGACAAUUACUUGUUGAAUAUUUAAAUGUUAAAAAUAAUAUUAUUAUUAAAGAAAACUUAGAAAUAAACAUUUAAUGACUCAAAUUUUCUUUAUUUCUAAAAUUAAAUUAUACUUCUCUCUUCUUUAAACAAUUUUUUCAUAAAUGAAUGUGUUCAAACAUUUUUCAAGAUCUAUUUAUCUCGAUAAACAUAACUUUCAGAAUUUUCUUUUAUCUUCUCUUCAUUUAUAUUCAUAAUUGUUUUGAAUUAAUUUUGAUUUAUCUAUUAAAAAUUAGUUGUGGUUUGCAUUCUUUGUAUAAUAUUUAUUAUUAUCAUCAUUAUUAUAAUAACAAAGAAAUGAUUAAAAAUAUUUGCUGAAAAAUAAGGUUAAAAAAUUUUAUAUAAGAAAAAUAAAAUGUGGUAAACUUGUUUUUAGGCAAACCCUUAAAUAUUUUCAUUAAUUAAUAUAUUUUUUUUUUUUACAAUUUUUCCAAAUUCAUGUGGUAUAAUUUGAGUGAAAAUUUAUUAAAAACUAGAAAAAUAAAUAUUUGAUAUAUUUAAUAAUCUUGUUUUCCAGGCAAUAAAAUCUUCUUGUCUGUUGAAGUCUCGCGUCACCCGGGGUUCUCGCAGUAGCCAGAUGGACGCUCCCUUUCAACUGAUGAUGAUUCAUGCCUCAAUCAACCUGCAAAAGACGUCCGGACAGGUUGUCCGGACAUACCCUCCGAUGGUUUUGUUAGUUUUCUCUCUAAUAAUCAAUCUUCCCUUUUUACUGAGUAAGAAAGCUUACCUUCUCUCCUCGCAUGAAGGCUCUUUUAUAGUGUCAGAAGUUCUGUCCCCUUUAAUGGUGGGAAGACUUUUUGGCUUGUCAUGAUGGCGCUGAGGUAGUGGCAGAGCCAUCAUGGUCCUGCAGGCGCAUGUCAGAUAUUGUGGAGGGGAUGGCUUACCGUUAUUCCUGUCAUUUUGCUCUGCAGGCGGUGGAAUGCGGGCUGUGACAGGUUGUCUGAGGUGACUUAGUAUGGUCCUGUCGAAAGUGCUUCUGCCAGUGUAGGCCAGGAUGGCCUACGUUUCACGGGCAAGGCUUUUGAUUAAGUUGCUAACGCUGGUUCCGAACAACAUAUCCAGACAAGAGAAGGAGUCGUUCGGACCGUGGGUUUGAGAGUGUCGUACGCCCCCCCAGAGGGAAUCCGGAUAGAAAGUUGAUGUGCCAUGUGUCCCCUGGAGGGGUGCUAUGCGGGGUUGCCACGUGGGCGUUUGGGGGUGGUCCCUACAAUGCCUCCCUUUUAACAUGGCUAUUUUGCCCGGGCAGAAAAGACGGGUUAAAAAUGAUGCUUUUAAACCCUUCGUUUCUUUUUUGGGGUUUAUCUGCCACGUGGUAUUGCGGAAGGGGGGGUAUUUAUGGCGAGCCGCCGUUCUUGGGGGGAUUUCUAGGCGGCAUGUCGUUUCGAUAGUGGUGCGGUUAGGCGCCUGGUUAUUUGGAGGACUAAGAAGUCGCAUCCCUUAAAUAGGAAUCCAGCCCCCGCGACUACAUUUUUCGUUCUACGUUUUUUUCUCAUCUGUAUUUUCCCUUUGCCUCUCUGUUCAUCUUCGCCUAUGACCGAGGGUCGCUUUCUAGGGCUUCUGUUAGCGGCAUUCUUGUCACAAGGGCGACUGUAUCGCGACCUUCGUUCCAGUUGCAAGCUUGCGCCAGGUAUGUUCUGUAUUUCUAUCUCCUCAUCUUAAGCUUCCUGUUUCUUCGAUUUUUGCUGGCUUGUUGGGUAUUUUGUUUGCAAUUGAGGGUCAGAGGUAAUGUUUAGGGUUUUUCAAGGGGUUUUGAUUUUGCUUUUGGCCCAUUGUGGCUUUUGUUGCCCUCCUAUUGCCUUUGCGGAUGACUGAACCGCAUUUGGGGUAGAGUUAGGGGUUAGGCUUGGGGUUUUGGCUAUUUUAGGCCUUCUGGGUCAUUUGUUCUCAGGGUUGUGGGGCGGGGUACCUCUAUUUUAACUGUUGGCAUUUUGCCAUGCAGGUUUUGUCUCGGCCCCACGCUUUAACAUGCCUGCGAAAAAGGAUGUGGCUUCGUCUAGUACGGCUGGGCUUAGUGGAAAAAGUGUAUACGGACAGACCUACUUGGGGAAGCCUACUGACAAGUUGAACGAGAGGGAGUUUUGUGAGCGUUUCUGAAUCCCGAAUGAUGUCUCUGUUCAGCUAGUGGACGGGGAUGCUAUGUCCACUGAGAAAGCUGUCAACCACGCCAUUUACUUUUCCAAGGAGCAAUUCAAUGCGGGGCUCCGGUUUCCUUUUUUGUCUCUCUUCAAAGAGUUCCUCCACUUCACUCAGAUUCCUGUAGCUUAUGUCCAUCCCAAUAUUGUCCGGGUGUUGAUGGGGUGCAGUAUCCUAAAUAUGCUGUUCAAUUUGGAUCUUUCCUUGCUGGAGGUCCUCUUUGUUUACACCAUCAAGAAGGAGAAGACAGACCUCUUCAGCUUGUUUGCCCAUAUCCCAUCCCUUCAAUUGGUGACCAACCUUCCGGAUUCGAACAAGGGGGGAGCCAAAGGGCAUGUACUGGUCAGGGGUCACUGGGCUGGUCUGUCGGAGCCUUCAGAAAGGGAGUUUACCCCCAACCGUUCGUGGACGCUUCCGUGUAGGGUAGCUCUUGGUGUCUGUUCGGUGUUGGUUUUUGACUCUUGAUUCAGUGUUAUCAGAUGACUAACCUCUUUUGUUUUGGGUAACACAGGUACACACAAGAGGGGUCGCUUGGUCGAGUGGGUGGAGAAGGCCUCUUUCGAUCGUUUGAACAGGUUGUUUGAGAUCACUUCCAUCGAGAGGCACUAGCAGACACUUCUUUCUACCCGGAACCUGUUGGUGGUCGUCCGGGAACCUCAGCCGUACGUCCUCGAUAUUCUCUCCAGGCGACUACCCAAGGUUGUAGUGCCCGGGGAACACUUUGUGCUGAAGGAUCUGCCUUUUUACGAAAGGGCUAGCGAGGCUAACGCAAAGGCGCGCUAGGAGUGCCUUGACCAGCGGGAGGAGAAGAGGCAGGAGGGGACACUGAGGAAAACACCUGUAAGAGAAAGGGCCUGGCGAGAAGGGACACGGCUCUUCUCUCGCGGUCUGUCUUCCGACUGCAAAGAAGAAGAAAAAGAAAACCAUUGCGUAUGCUCUCCAAGUAGUGUCUCCGGCUCCUGAUCUUUCGUCUUCAUCCUCCGACUCUAUGUCCAGUCGACCGAAUAACCCUACCCCGAAGCCUGAGGAUACUUCUAGCUUCCCACAGCUUGAGACUUUCCGUUCGGGGCUUAGCUCUUUCCAGCCUCAGUUGGACUUCGUUGGCUUGAGAGUCGUGCAUGAGCCGGAGGAAGUGAGAGACAUGAACGACCUCAGAACCGGGUUUUUACAAAGGCAUCGUAAGUGGCUGUAUGAUCCCAUAGAUCUUGCACCUCCUCCAGCCAAGAAGGAUUGCCCAGAGAGAGAUGGGGAGGAUCCGACGGCAGAAGUUCCUUUGUUAGCUAUGGCCCAUCCGGACGAGGCGAGUUCUAGCGCGGCUACAGCGGUUCAGCCAGACACUGCAGGAUCUGAUGCAGCGGCAACGACUCGGCCCGAAGUUCCAGGGCUUAGCGCAGCGACCGUUGCUCAACCAGGCUUAACUGCUCACAGCAAUGCCCCGACUACAAUGGAGACCCGUGGGACAGAGGGGGUUCCGGAGGCAGCGAUUGACGAGAAGGCUUCGGACAAGAAGAGUAGUCCAGCUACCACGGUUCCUCUAAGAUGGGAGGAAAUGAUGGAGAUGCUGAAGGGAGUGCCAUGUUUCACGGAUGCGGAGGCUCAUUCCACAAGGAUGUCUGACUUCUUUUCGCUUGCCAAACGGGUCUCUGUGAACAUGGGUGGUGAUCCUCCUGCCUUUGUCAAGGCCCGACUUCUUUUUGGCACCCCUGAGCCCGCCGUUUCUUGUAUUCAACAUCUGUAGAAGUGGACGAUCCCUGAGACUGCAGAAGUGGUAAUCAUUUCUUUGCUACUUUUUCCUUCUUCCUUAACAACUGUUACUCCUUUGCACUACAUUAGCUUUUGUUUUGAUGUUGUUCUGCACAGGUCAUGGCUGGCAUCCGCUACAUGAUGCAUAUGCGCGAACAACUCUUCAAGCAGCUGGAAGUGGCGGAGGCUAUGCGCGCCUUCAUCUCUCACCAUCUAGGCGACGUUGAGGAGAUGCGCUCGAGGUUAAAGAAGGUGGAGGCUGAGUUGGCCACUGCUCAGAAGGUCGUAGCGGAUGGGGCGGAGAAGCUGAGCCAGGCUGAGGAGGAGAAGGGGGCUGUCCGGGCUAAGGUGAACUUGCUGAAAAGGGAAAAAGGGGCCCUGGAGGGUCAAAUCAAGGGGGUGGAGCAAGAGAAUUCUCAGCUUAAGAAUGAGGUAGAUGAACUUCGGGCUAGCCUCGCAGCUCAGAAGAAGGAGACAGAGAGGUUGCAGGUAGGCCUAGUUGCUCAGAGGGAGGAGAUGGAGGCCGGGAUUGCCGCUCAGAAGAAGGAGUUGGAGACGGAGUAUCAAAGGCAGGUAGAUGAGAUGUACUUCUUCGACUACCGUUGCUGCAUGAAGAAGAACGGCAUUAUGCAUGAUGUUCUGUCUCUUCCUUGUGACGAUGAGGAUGUGAUACCCGGAGGCCCUCCUUGCUGAGAUUUCUUUGUGUGCAGUCCUCCUUAUACUUUUUCUCUUUGUUUUGCUGCUUUUGGGGCAGCAGAUUUUGUAAAGACAAAUUUUCAGUCCUUUAUAAAUGCUUUAGACUUCUUUGUUUUUCUCUACCUUUUGCUUCUCUUUAUUGGUAAUAUUGCUUAAGGUUAGAUACAUUUCAUGGACAGAGCAACGGGGUUCCGUCUAACUUUUGUAGGUGAUAGGCUCCGCUUUCACUUGCCUUAGUUACAAUAUAAGGACCUUCCCAAUUCGCUUGGAAUUUCUCGACUCCUCUUUCAGCGGUGUUUUCGAAAACCUUUCUAAGGACCAGCGUUCCGAUCUUGAAGACCCGGGGUCAUGCCUUGCGGUUAUAGUGAGUGGCCGCUCUUUGCUGGUAGUCAGCCAUCCGAAUGGACGCGUUUUCUCUCACUUCAUCCGCCCAGUCUAGGUUCCUUCCUAGUUCCAUACUUUCAUCACUCUAUCCUCGUGCAUCAGUCCGAAUAAUGGGCAAGCCUAUUUCUGUGGGGAUGACUGCAUCCAUGCCGUAUGCAAGGGCGAAUGGAGUGUUUCCCGUGGGUUGGCCGGGUGUGGUUCGGUAGGCCCAUAGGAUGCCGGGCAGUUCCUCUACCCACUUUCCUUUGGCCUGCUCAAGCCUCUUCUUUAAGGCAGUCACCAAGGUUUUAUUUGUCGCUUCUGCCUACCCAUUGCUUUGAGGGUAAGGCGGUGUGGAGUACAAAUUGUGGAUUUUGAGCUCCGAGCAGAAAUUCCGGAAGGCAAUGUUGUCAAACUGUGGACCAUUGUCGGCUGUGAUUGCUUGAGGGAUCCCAAAGCGGCAAAUGAUGUUCUUCCACACAAAUUUGGUGACAUCCUUGUCCUUGAUUCUGGCAUAUGCCACUACUUCUACCCAUUUGCUGAAGUAGUCAGUGGCAACGAGUAGGAAUUUCUUCUGAGCAGCCGCGGUUGGUAAAGGUCCUACUAUGUCCAUCCCCCAUUGUGCAAAAGACCAAGGGCUGGAAAUUGGCUUCAACGUUUCAGACGGUGCAUGCGGUAUGGGGCAUGUCUUUGGCAUUUGUCACACUUCUUGACAUAAGCCGCCGCGUCUCUCUUCAUAGUUGGCCAAUAGUAGCCCUGCGAGUGUGCUCGAUGCGCCAAAGAUCGUCCUCCGGGGUGAUUGCCGCAUACACCCUCAUGUAACUCAGCUAAUAUGUAUUGAGCCUCUGAGCAGUCUAGGCACUAGAUGUAGGGGCCUGUAAAAGAUCGUUUGUAAAGGUGCUCCCCGAUCAGAGCGAAACGGGCAGCUUGUACCCGGAUCUUGUGCGCUUGCUUGGGUUCAUCAGGUAAAGAUCCUAUUCGGAGGUAUCAUGUUAUGACUUCCGUCCACUCCUGGCCCUCUUCCUGGCUCUCCUCAAUAGUAUUGCAAGUGGAUGCUUUUGUGAUGGAAGGAUCAGUCUACACAUAUAUAGGCAAUAAUAUGGCCUCUUUGAUGGGCAGGAAAACAGCUAUUCUUUCCAGGGCAUCAGCACGUACGUUAUCACCUCGUGGGAUUUUUUCUAUGGUCCAUUCGCCUAACCGUUGUAGGGUGUCUCUCACUUUUGUUAGAUGUCGUGCCAUGCGUUCGUCCUUGGCUCCGUAUUCCUCCUACACGUGUCUUACCACGAGUUGAGAAUCGCUGUAGACUCGAAGCUUGGAGACAGAUAGUGCGAGGGCGAGAUCUAGUCCAGAUAGGAUGCCCUUGUAUUCUGCUUCAUUGUUUGAUGCGGGGAACCCCAGCCCGAUAGCUUGCUCCAGUUGUUCACCCAUUGGGGAUUGCAAUAAAAGUCCUAUUCCGGACCCCGAUGAUCGAGAGACUCCGUCAACCCAUAAGGUCCACCACUCUUCUUUGUGCGGUUCCUCGUCUCGAACAGGUUUUUGGGAGGACUCUACCACAAAGUCGACCAUUACCUGCCUUUUCAUGGACAAUCUCGGUUGGUAUUCGAUCCCAUACUCACUUAAUUCUAUGGCCCAUUGGAGCAUUCUUCCGGACAGAUCCGGCUUGUGCAGGAUGUUGCGAAGGGGCUGGUCGGUAAGUAUGACUACCGAGUGGGCUUGGAAGUAGGGGCAGAGUUUCUGGGCGGCACUUCGCAAGGCUAAGGUUGUUUGCUCUAUCUUUGAAUACCUUGUUUCUGCAUCGGCCAAUGCUCUGCUGACAUAAUAAAUAGGUUUCUACUCCCUAUGUGUAGGGCAGCGAAACAGAACAGCGCUAACUGCCUAAUCUGACAUAGCCAAAUACAUAUACAACUUUUCUCCGGGAAGGGGGCUGCUCAAGAUGGGUGGUUGCGUUAGGUAGUGUUUGAUUUUCUUGAAAGCUCUUUGACAUUUGUUCGUCCAUCCAGUCGUGCCGGCUUUCCAUAAUACUAAGAAGAAGGGUCCCAAUUCGUCAGUGAAUCGGGCUAUGAAAUGUCCUAAUGCGACGAGCUUGCCUGUGAGGCGCUGCAACUCCUUUUUGUUCUUGGGGGGUGGUGUUUCCAUGACUGCCUUAAUUUGGUCAGGGUUGACUUCUAUCCCUCUUUGGCUGACCAUGAACCCCAAGAAUUUCCCAGCACUCACGUCGAAAGCGCAUUUGGAUGGAUUCAGCUUCAUGUCGUACCUCCUUAGUAGGUGGAAAACUUCUUGUAAGUGGUGCGCAUGCUCUUCUCGAGUUUUACUUUUAACCACUAUAUCAUCAAUGUAUACCUCCACUGUGCGGCCAACCAAGGGUUUGAAGAUCUUUGUCAUCAUUUUCUGAUAAGUGGCACCGACAUUUUUGAGUUCGAAUGGCAUGACUUUAUAACAAUAAAGCCCAUGUGGAGUUAUAAAGGCUUUCUUUUCUUCGUCGGUAAGGGCCAUGGGGAUUUAGUGGUACCCGGAGAAGACAUCUAGGAAGGAGAGCAUUCCUUGCCCGACAGUGGAGUCCACGAUUUGAUCUAUCCGCGGUAGAAGAAAACUGUCUUUUGGGCAUGCAUUGUUGAGGUUGGUAUAAUCGACGCAUACUCGCCAUUUUCCCUUCUUUUUGGGUACCACCACUACAUUCGCCAGCCAAUCCGGAUACUCCACUUCUCUAAUAAAUCCGGCUUCUAACAAUUUGUCAACCUCGUCCCGAAUAAUUUUUUGCCUAUCCGGGUGAAACCGCCUAACCUUCUGCCGGAUGGGUCUUGAUGAAGGCAAGAGUUAAGCCGAUGGGAGGCGAUUGAAGGAUGGAUUCUCGUCAUGUCGGAAUGCGUCCACGCAAAGGCGUCGUGGCUUUGUCGGAGGGUGUCUUGGAUAUCCCAGGCCUCUUCAGGUGUCAAGAGGGAGCUGAUAUGUGUGAGAUGAGUGUUUUCCUUCGAGAUUUGGAUUGGCCGCAAGGGAUUUGCUGCUGGGGGAUCUUUAUCCGUCGGGUUCAAUAAUUGCUAUUGGUUUGGCACGUUGGUGGGUUCGGGGAGGGGCUAGCCAUCUUUGCUGGAUCCAACUUCUCGCGUUAUCUGAUAGCACUGGCGAGCAGCCAGCUGGCUGCCAUAUAGAUCGAUUUGUCCGUCCUCAGUGAGAAAGCUUACCAUCUAAUGGUAUGUGGAAGGGAUGACUUUCAUGUAGUGCAGCCACAUGCGUCUCAAGAUGGCGUUAAAGGGGGACAAAUCUUCUACCACUGAAAAUUGUAUGUUAAGAGUGACUGGGCCUGCUUGGACUGGUAGCACAACGUCUCCAAGAGAGGUGGUUGUCGCUCCAUUGAAUCCGGACAAGAUCCGCCCAGGAUUUUCUAAGCCGGAUAGCUCGAGUCCCAUCUGCUUGAUUACUGAUGCUUGUAAGAGAUCGGCCGAGCUACCUGGGUCAAUUAGGAUCCGUCUCACAUCAAAGUCCCCAAUCCCCAGGGAUAGGAUGAGGGCGUCACGAUGUGGUUGUAAUAUUAGUGUGGGAUCUACUAGGGGAAAACGAUUGUCCCGUCUAUCGAGUGGGUACUCCCGCCAGUUAAACCGGGCCGGAUGGAAUUGACGCGCUCACGCACCGACACUGCUCGUAGCAACCUCUGCCUCUUUCGUUUGGAGUUGUACUCCUCAUCCAGUGGUCCUCCGUGGAUGUAAUUGAUGACGGUCUUAGGGGCGAUUGGGGCCUGAAGGUCCUAGAAUCGCGGCUUCGGGAAGUAUCUUUAACCCUAGCUUCUGAGCGGAGGUAUUGCUUCAAAUGUCCUGCUUUUAUGAGCCUUUCUACCAAGUAAUGGAGACUCCUACAUCGCUCUGUAGUAUGACCAUGCUCUUUGUGGUAAACACACUUCUUGAUAUGAUAUCUCUUGGCUGGGUCCAUUCUGAUGGGUCCAGGCCACCUGAAGUCGGACAGGUAUUGUAUCAUAGGAAGAAGCUUCCAUAUGACACAGUAAGGGGAGUGAGAGGCGGCAGCUCCUGGCGACUUUGCUCCCCCUGCCUUCGAUCACACGUCCUAGGCUGGUUCGGAGGUCUGGAACUUCUUUCUGCGUCGCUUUUGGAUGUCUAUCCGGUGACCAAAAUUUGCUGGGUGGCUGCAUGCACAUCAUCUUCCAGCAUUGAGUAUUUGCUUGCGCGUCGGAACAAGUCAUCCAUCGUCGUGGGAGGCUUUUUAACGAGUGAUUCAAAGAAUGGGGUACCUAGGCAUAUACUUUUUUUGAAGAUUUGGAGGACAGCAUCCAUGCUGUAGGCCUCUACUUGCAACACAGUCUGACCAAACCGUUUCACGAAUUCUCUCAAGGACUCAUUCUCCUGCAUUUUUAUGUUUUGCAGGGUGCUGAUGUUCUGUUUAUGCCGGGCGGAGCAUAGGUAUCGUCCCAAAAAGCUUCCGAUAGGUCCCAAAAGUUAUCAAUAGAGUUCGAGGGGAGUUGGUGAAACCACAAAAGAGCUUGGUCUUGUAAGCUGGCAGGGAAUACUUUGCACAACAACACAUCAUUCCCUAUGUCGAGAGUCAUGAGUUGUCGGUAAUGCAUGAUAUGGUCGAAUGGAUCACUAGACCCGUCAUACGCAGAAAAUUUUGGCACAAGGAAUCCCCUUGGGGGAUCAUAAUGGAUAAUACGUGAGCUAAAAGGCAUGGAGAACAUGUCAUCCAACCUCUUGCUAAUGGAACCUGGGGGUGGUUCAUUUGAUGAGUUCCUUCCGACUUGUCGUACCGCUUGGUGCAGGGAUUGUUCUGAACAGUGGAUGCGACUGGGGGGUCAGGAUAUGCUUCCCAGGUUGCGGCCACCAGCGGCCUCUCCUUACCAGGUUCCUGCGGCCUUAACCUCGCGCGCAUUACGUCUAACAACUAGGGUCUUUUAUCACGUUGUCUCUUUGAUGAGAGACGGGUAGAGUCCGAGCUUUCAUCUUGGGGAGCAGAAUACGUGGGCAUGGGUCGUUCCCGAGAUCGUUCAUUGCGCAUAUCAAGGACGACCCCUGCAAUUCCGAGAUAUACCGAUUCUAGAUCAGGCCUAGAGUUUGCCCCCUGGCCUCUUGGGCAUUGGUCAUGAGGAGGCCCCGAGGACGAAACCUGGAUGUGUAACACCGCGUUUUCUUCUCUUAGUCUCGUCGUUUCCCGGAGGAGAGCUUGCAUUUGUCGUUCGCUCUCCAACUGUCACCUUUCCAUGGUCUCGCGCCAUUCGAAAUAGCCUUCAUCUCCUCUGGCUGACGAACGGCUCUUGGAAGGUGUGGAGGGGAUGGCUUGCUGUCAUUCUUGUCCUUUCGCUCUGUAGGCGGUGGAAUGCGGGUUGUGACAGGUUGUCUGAGGUGACUCAGUAUGGUCCCGUCGAAAGUGCUUCUGGCAGUGUAGGCCAGGAUGGCCCGCGUUUCACGGCCAAGGCUUUUGAUUAAGUUGCUAAUGCUAGGUCCGGACAACAUAUUCAGACAAGAGAGGGGGUCAUCCGGACCGUGGGUUUGAGAGUGUCGUACGCCCCUCGGAGGGAAUCCGGAUAGAGAGUUGAUGUGCCACGUGUCCCCUGGAGGGGUGCUGUGCGGGGUUGCCACGUGGGCAUUUGGGGGUGGUCCCUACAUUGUCCAACUCACGUUAAUGUAUUAAAUUAAUAAUCUCACUAAAUAUAUAAGAUAAUAGUUUUUUAGAAAUUCUUCAGAGUCUAAUAAAAUAUAAAUUAAUAACUAAUGAAAUAUUUGGAAAAAAACAAAAGAAUUCAUAAUACAAACUUUCUCAAAAUAUACAUUGAAAUUUAUUUAUUUUCUUUGCACCUAAACUAACUCAAUUUUAUCUUUAUUUUUUUGUAAUAUAUAUACACUAAAUUAAUAAAUUAUUGAUUUAUUGAUAAAUUAAUAAUUCCUUUUGAUUCAAGAAUAAUAUUUUAUUUUAUAGGGUUUUUCCUAUAGCUAGGAGUGGCGCAAAGGAGAUAGCAAAUAAUUAUCCAUCAAUGAGUUACUGGCUUACUACUGCUUCCGGGUUAUGUACGCCGCUUUAGUCAAGAUCUUCAUUGCAACCUAUAACAAGCUAAGCUCUAAGUCAAGUCAAUUGGUCCCCCAUCGUAAUUACCCAAAUGAGAUUGUAUGGAAUCACACUUUCAUCUUUGAGUGAAAGAAGGAGCCUUCCUUGACCGAUUCACUUCUUCAGCAAAUGAAUUGCAUGGAAAGGAGAUAAAUGUCUUUGAUGCAAAGUAAGGUAAAAAAAAAUAGAGGUAGAGUUAGGUGGAGUUUGUUUGUUUUGACUUUUUAUUAAAAGUAAUUUAUUUUCAAAAUUUAGGUAGUUUAUUUUUUUUAAAUUUUUUAUCACUUAUUAUACAUUUUUUAUUGAAUAGAAAAAAUUAAAAUAUUUAAUUUUUUUUAAAUAGAAAAAAUAAUAUAUUGAUUUUUUAUUACUUUUUAAUAUUUAAUAGAAAUAAAAUAUUAUUAAAAAAGCAACCUAAUAUUUAAUACUAUUAAGUAUUAAGUUUCUAUUUAGAAUUAAGCAAAAAAACAAACACCGCCUUAGAAUUUUAAGUGUCUGCUAAAAAAGCAAUGAAAUCCCAAUUUUAGCGAAAAAGAAGAAAUGUGAAUCCUAGGUUUUGAACUUCAAAACUGAAGAAAAGAAUGUACAAUUUAUUCAAAACUUUUAGGCCCCACUUAAAAACAUGGAAAAUUUGACAAAAAUAAAUAGGAUAGACGGUCAGCAAGCGGUUAAGUUGAGGCUGCCCAACAUAAUUGACAAAAUGAAACCGUAUGGAAAAUGGAGACUUUUGGGCCAAAAUGGCCCAUUUUUGAAACUUAACAUUGAAAGUGGGCUCAUUUCCAAACUAUUGUUCAAAAUGGCCCCUUGAAGCCACAUCAACCCAUAAAUCAAUAUUUUAUACUGUUUUUACUUUACCAUUUCCAUCCCCGUGCUCUGUUAUCUCCCGUGCUGUUGUUCUCUCUUCUGUGUGAUUUUUUUUUCUAAACCCUAGCCCCACUAGUGGGCCACUAAAAAAGACGGUGGAGCUACAAAGCAUAAAGUUUAAGGUGAGUCAUAAUCUUCUUUUUGGCUUAUAUAAGUUUUUGGCACUUUCCAAUUUUUUUUCCCAUCUCAAAAUCUCAGUUUUUAGAAAUUUUUUUUUUCCAUUGUUGUGAAUGAUUGGUUAGGGAGUGUGGUUAUGGUGAAUUAAUGGCUGUUAGUAUCAGAUUUUGGGGCAGUCGUUGGGGAGGAUUAGGCUUGCGGUGUCGGCAUUGAGGAGCUACUCAGUCUACGGAAAAACAGGUGAGAUGGGCUGUGUUGAUUGUGUUUUGUUGCUCUGUUUGGUUGGUGAGAAUUGGCUACAAGGAGAGUAAAUUAUUGUCACAAAAAACCGAGGCCCUCCCAUUGCAGCUGUUGGGCUUAAUUAAAAUGAGUUUUUAAUGUUCUGAAAAACAGAACAAGAAAAGGAAAUGAGCAUGAAAAAGAUGGUUGUUGCUUAAAAAAAAUGGAGGUUUUGGGUUUGUUUUUUUUUUUGUAUUUAAGUCCAUGUUUGCAAUAACCUUUUGUUUCAAUAAGCAGCUGACCACCAAAAAAUUAUCCAAUUUCUAUUUCAAUAAUUUAAAAUUUGUAUUAUAUUUUAAAUAUUUUUUUAGGUAUCCCAGGAUUAAUAUUUGUGUGUGCAUGAGUCAUGACUCUCAAUCAAAUUAAUUUUAUAUAAUAUUUGAAUAGUAAUAGGAUUUAUGAUAAUAUUAUUUAUAUACUAAAUCCAUCUCCAUAAUUUUUCAAAGAUGAAAGAAAAAAAUAGGGUUAAUUAUGUAAAUUUGUAGUGUGAAACAGUUGCUUGAAACGGAUUAGGAGAGGUUCAAAUUGGUUUGGACUUUGGGUAGAAAAUGCAUUACACAUAGAGAUUAGAAUGCAUUUUUAAUUUAAAUUUGAAAAUAACAAAAAUAUAAUAUUCUAUAAUAUUUAAAUAAUAAAAGGAUUUAUGAGGAUAUUAUCAUAUAUAUGAAAUUAACUUAUAAGAUUUUGUAGUUAAGGGGAAAAAAUUAGGAUUAAUUGAAAAGAUUUUUUUGAAAUUAUUAUGGGCCAUUAAUUAAUAAUAUUAAUAGCCAUAGAUAACAGAUUUAAAAAAAAAAUGAAAGUUGUAAAUAAUGAUAAAUAUAUUUGGAUGGAAUAAUUUUUAAUUCUUUUUUCUUUUUUUAGAAUUUGAGUGAAAUAGGGAAUGUGUUUGCUAAGAAUUUCAACCGACUCAAUAGAUAAUGUGAGUCUCCAAGCCAUGUUUAAGAAAUCUGGCGAUAUUCUGUUUUGUAAAGUGGUUGUGACCUUGGCUGAACCGAUGAUAUGUUGGAUUGAAUCUGUUCUUAAAGAUGUCUCCAACUUCUACUAGUUCUGAAUGUGAGACAACACAUUAUCAUUAAUAUGAUUGAAUUUAGGAUGUUUUAUUUCUGUAUCAGUCUACCCAUGCAUUCACUUACACUCAUUCCUUGUCUUUAAAGGAGGAAAGACCUCAACAUUCAAAAUAUUUUAUUUUUCCCAAACUGAAGUGAAGUAUUUGAUAGAAGUUCUACUAUUAUGGAAGUAUUGUUAUGAAUUUCUCAUCUAUUUGAGGUUAUAAUAUAAAAUACUAGCUUUUUAAAAGUAACGAAUUAAGGUCUGGGAAACGUGUUCUGUUAACUGUAGAAAUAUUUUUAUAUAUUUUAUGGUUAUUUAAAUAUGUUUUUUGGUUAUCUAAAUUUAAUGUUUCUAUCAUAAACUGGAUGUAUCUUACAUGAAUAUAUAUAUAUAUAUAUAUAUAUAUAUAUAUAUAUAUAACAUGUUUGCUAGGAAAAAAAUGAUUUUGGAUAUAAACAAUUUCAAAGUAAAAAAUGAAUAAAUAAUUUUUUUCUGAUCAAGAGAUCUUGAAUAAUUUUAUCUCAACAACUCUUAAAUAUAAAAUACUCAUCUAGAAUUUUUUUGCCUUGAUAUCAAGAAAACUUCUCAAAUAUGAGUAAACACUUUUUUUUUAAAAAAAAAAAAGCCAGAUUCUUAAAGUACAGAUAUUUUCUCUUUAAAAAGACUUUUGUAUUUGGUUAUAUCCAAAAAUUUAAUUUUUAUUUAAUUAUAUUUUUUAAAGAUAUCAAAAUUACCCAUACUUUUAAUAAAAAUAUUAUUAAAACAAAAUAGUAAAAGUAUAAAAUGAAUGGUCCAACUCUAAAAAAACCUAUUAUAAAAUAGACCAUAUACCUCAUGUUUGAUGACUCCACUUAGACUACUAGAUUGUGGAUGUGAUGGGAGUGGAGGAGGAUGAAAGGGAGGCCAAAAGUGAACCCAUCUGGAAAAACUUUGAUUAUGGGUUGGAGAAAUUGAAUGUGGGUAGGGACCAUAUUGUUUAUGUGAUCCUUUGUCAAUUGGGUUGUACUUCAUUUUCGUGAGUGCACACUAGACAGUAUUACAAAUGGUGUGGCCCUUGGACACGUCUAGAUGUUCAAGUAGGGUGUGAUGCCAGGGAAUAUAAAAAAAAAUUGCCAAGAAAGCAUUUUUAUUAUUAUACUAGAAUUUAGAAUCACAAUCUACAUGCUAUCUACAUUUUGCAGUGCAAGCAUAAUAGCAAGGAAGGUUAUCAAAUAUGAUUUUCAAGAUCUAAUUUUUAAAAUAAUUCCAAAUAGAAGAUCAAAGUUUUUAAUUUAUGUUCCAUAUAUAAAACAAUAUAAUAACCUUAGGAUAUGGUUUUUAUUUAUCAGAUAUUGAAAAUUAUUUUUUUACAAGGUUCUUUAGAAAAUCUCAUUUUUUUAUUUAAAAUAACAUAUUUAUUUUUAAAAAUAUAUUUAACAGAUAAUUUUGAGUUGUAAAAGAAUUAACAUAAUUAACACAUAUUUAUUUUAAAAUUUAAUUUUGAAUAUAAAAAUAUUAAUUUCAUUUUAUCAAAAAAAUAUUAAAAGUUAAUCUCAUCCUAAUUAUGAAAUUAGAAAAAUAAACUAAACAUGUUUGUAACCCAAACACAUGUAAAACAUUUUAUUGGACCACAAAAAUAAUAUUAAUUCAUAAUAUCAUCCUACUCUUUACUUAAACACUUAUUUGCUUAUACAUUGCUUUCAUUUGAGUUGAACUUGGUAUUUAGACAUGAAGCUUUGUUACAUUCCAAUAUUUAUUAGGUUUAUUAUUGUAUUUUAUGAAUCAUUGACCAUAAAGUAUUAUUUUUUACUUAAAUAAAUAUUAUUUUUUUUAUGUAAUAACCUUUUGUUAUUAUUUAUGGGAAGACAAUUAUGACUGAUUCCACAGUAGAAGUGCUAUGUUAUUGGAAUGGAACAAUUUUGAGGACAUAAAUGGAUUUGAGAUAUAUUGGAAAUAAUGUAGAGAUUGAGCCUAUAGAUGUACCAAUUCAUAUGACCUUUGUGGAGUUGUUGAAGAUGAUAUAUGAUAUCAUUGGUGUUGACAGAGACUAUCAGUUAGUCUUGAAAUGUCGUCAUCCAACUGAAAUGAACAAAUUUCAACCAUUAGUGGUGAGAAAUGAUCGGAUAGUUGCACGUAUGCUACUGGUGCCAUCGAAGUAUGGAAUGUCUUCAGUUCAAUUUUCAUAGAGCAAACUCCCAACCAUUAUCAUUUGAGUAAUGAAAUGGGUCAUUUGACACUAUUAUCAACAGGUGAUACUGAUGUUGAUGACGAAAAUGAGAGAGAUGAGGAAGAUGAUGCAAUCAACACAGAUGAGAUUCAUUUACCUAAUGAUGAUGAAAAUUGUUGUCAAAUAGAAAAUAUUGAUUUGGUGAUGGUCCAACAAGUUGUGGAAUGUGAAAGCACAAGAUUUGUGAACCUUGAAGUUGGUGAUAGGUCUAAUAAUCCUGAGGUUGAGUUUGAGGUUGAAAACAUAUCACUAGUUGCCUCCCCACAUGUACCCAAUUUAAUAUCUCUAAUGACAACCUAGAGGAAACAUUUGUACCCGUUUCAUACCAUAUGCCACCUACACCACAAUUUUUAAAUAUGGACGAGGCAAUUAAUUGUGUUGUAAGUGAUUGGACUCCAUGGAAAAAACCAACUUUAGGAAAUGUUGAUGGAGAAUUAUCAAUUGGCCAAAUAUUUUCCUCAAAAUCAGAUUUGCAACAUGCUGUGAAGAUGUUUUCCAUAAAGGCGUACCAAGAGUUUACUGUUUAUAGAUCAAAUGCAAGUGUGUUAGUUCUUCAAUGUAAAAAAGCACCAGAGUGCCAAUGGCGACUAAGGGCAAUGACAGUGAAAGAUACGGGUAUGUUUAGAAUCACAAAAUACAAAGUUCCUCAUACAUGUGUCAAUCCAUGUAUUAAUCAAGAUCAUUCACAGUUGGAUUCUAGCUUUGUAUCUAAGUAUAUUGAAACAUUGGUGAAGGCAGAAAUGACCAUUACAGUUGCUGCAAUUCAAGCUGUUGUUGCGGAACAAUUUGGUUACCAAAUUUCUUAUAAAAAAACAAUGAAGGCAAAAAGGAAAGCAAUGACUCGAUUAUUUGGUGAUUGGUACAAGUCUUAUGUAGAGUUACCCCGUUUCUUCCUUGCCUUGGAGCAAUCAAAUCCUGGAUGCAUUAUGUAUUCCAAAAUGGUUCCUGGAAACAAUCCGAAUGAAGAAAUUUUUCAGCGUGUUUUUUGGGCAUUCGCUCCAUCUAUUAAAGGGUUUGCACACUGUCGACCAGUUCUCAGUAUUGAUGGGACACAUUUGUAUGGAAAAUAUAAAGGGACUUUGCUGAUUGCUAUGGGAUGUGAUGGUAAUAACCAAUUGUUUCCACUUGCAUUUUCCAUUACAGAAGAAGAAAAUACAGAUAGUUGGAGUUGGUUUUUGGCAUGUAUCAGAGUUGGAGUAACACAAAGGAAAGGGUUGUGUCUGAUUUCUGAUCGUCAUCCUGGCAUUAUAGCUGCUGUCAAUGAAACAUAUUCGAGAUGGACUCAGCCAGAUGCUUGUCAUAGAUUUUGCAUGCGUCAUUUAUCAAGUAAUUUCAACACAAAGUUCAAAGAUAAGACUUUAAAGGAUCUCAUGUGUAGGGCUGCUAUGGAGAGUAAAGUUAAAAAAUUUAUUUCUCACAUGGAUACAAUUGGCCAGAUAAAUGCCGAGGCUAGAAAUUGGUUGGAGCAAAUUCCUUUUGAAAAAUGGGCACUCUCAUAUGAUGGUGAGCGGAGAUAUGGGAUUAUGACAACUAACAUGUCUGAAGUUUUUAAUGGUGUCCUUAAGGGUGCUCGUAACUUACCAACAAUAGCUUUAGUCCAGUUAACUUUCUAUCUGGUUAACAGUUACUUCACAGUCAGGCGGGAGCAUGGUGCCAGUCGACUCGCUUCAGGUGAAGAAUUCACUCCACAUAUUGACGCCAAGAUAAAGGCUAAAGUUGUUAAGGUGGGUGCACAUGAGGUUCUUUUGUAUGAUCAUGUGGCGGGACGUUUUCAUGUUAAAACUAGACACUCUGUUGGAAGCAGUAAUAGGAAACCUUGCACAUAUCAUGUUACCCUUCAAACGGGGUCUUGCACAUGUAACAAAACACUUUUGUUACGAUUCCCAUGUUCGCACAUUCUUGCUACUUGUCAUUGUCAAGCAAUUGAUUUUCGAUAAUUUGUACAAGGUUAUUACACCACACGUGCUUACCUAUCAACAUGGGCUCCCUUGUUUUAUCCCAUAUUUGAUGAGUUGGAGUGGCCUCAAUAUAAUGGACCGAUAAUUGUGCCUUCAAACUCAAUGAAACGGCUAACUUCUGGUCGAUCAAAAUCAAGUCGUUUGCAUAAUGAGAUGGAUGCAGGGGAAACUAGGACUCCACAAACAUGUGGACUUUGCAAACAAUCGGGUCACAAUCGAUGUUCUUGUCCUAAUAGAGAAACCAAUGAUAGGAGGAGUUGAUGUACUUCAUGAACAUCUUAUUGUACUGUUUUUUUUUUUUUUUUUGAAUUUACUAAUAUUGACCUUAAUCGUUUUAAGAUAUAUGUAGAAACUAGCUUAUUGAACAUCUUAUUAACGUUUGUUUGUUUGAAAUUAUUAUUUUUUGUCAAUUCAUUCUUAUUUUGCUUAUAUCAGGUUACAUGAAAAAAAUAUUAAUCUCCAUUAUUUAGGGGAGAUGCUGUUCAAAUUUUUAAAAUUUUAAUAAUGAAAUUCAUGUUGUUAGAAAUUGUUGUUUUUUUGUCAAUUCAUUCAUAUUUUACUUAUAUCAGGUUACAUUGAAAAAUUUUGAAUCUCUACUGUUUAGGGGAAAUGCUAUUCAAAUUUUUACAAUUUUAAUAAUGAAAUUCAUGUUGUUAGAAAUUGUUGUUUUUUUUUUCAAUUCAUUCAUAUUUUACUUAUAUCAGGUUACAUUGAAAAAAUUUGAAUCUCUACUGUUUAGGGGAAAUGCUGUUCAAAUUUUUACAAUUUUAAUAAUGAAAUUCAUGUUGUUAGAAAUUGUUGUUUUUUUGUCAAUUCAUUCAUAUUUUACUUAUAUCAGGUUACAUUGAAAAAAUUUGAAUCUCUACCGUUUAGGGGAAAUGCUGUUCAAAUUUUUACAAUUUUAAUAAUGAAAUUUAUGUUGUUAGAAAUUGUUGUUUUUUUGUCAAUUCAUUCAUAUUUUACUUAUAUCAGGUUACAUUGAAAAAUUUUGAAUCUCUACUGUUUAGGAGAAAUGUUGUUCAAUUUUUUACAAUUUUAAUAAUGAAAUUCAUGUUGUUAGAUAUUAUUGUUUCUUGUCAAUUCAUUCAUAUUUUGUUUAUAUCAUGUAUUGAUGUACAUGCAGACAUGGAUACUUCGUUGUUUCGUGCUCGUCUUGACCCUGAGGAUACAUCUGUGCUUACUCUUCAGCAUCAACAUCGAUCAUCCACCAUUCGUGUUGAUCCAGAUAUGGGUAGUGUUUUGACUUGCUGACACAGGAUGCUUCGAGAGUGGGUUUUGGAUGAUCGUGUUCGGCCAUACAUUAUACAGUCAGGAUUUUAUGUCUUUCAUCGAGUGGGCCAUGUUAAGGUUGAUUGGCCUUUGAUUACUGCACUGGUAGAGAGAUGGCGCCCAGAGACACACACAUUCCACAUGCCAGUUGGUGAGAUGACCAUCACAUUGCAGGACGUAGCCAUCUUAUUUGGAUUACGUGUACAUGGCCAUCUUGUCACUGGUUCUACAGAUAUUGAUUGGCAUGCACUUUGUGAGGAGUUAUUAGGUGUUCGACCGACAGAGACUGAUAUUCGUGGAGCAUCCCUUACAGUUCGUUUUAUUACUACCCAUUUCUCCCACUUACCACCAGGGGUUGUAGAUGAGGUUACUUUACAACGCCAUGCUAGAGCUUAUCUUUUAUUGUUAGUUAGUGGUUCAUUAUUUACAGAUAAGAAGGGGGUUUACAUCCAAUUAGCAAUUCUACCCAUGUUAAGAGAUUUUGGUGAGACUGCACAGUAUAGUUGGGGGAGUGCGACACUAGCACAUCUUUAUCGGGAGUUAUGUCGAGCUAGCUUAGAUAGCGCAGAAUCUAUUGUAGGACCAUUACAUUUGUUGCAGGUAUAACUACUAGUCUUAUUAAUUAUGUAAUUUUGUCAUAAUUAUGUGCAUUUAAACAUAAUUUUAUUUCAUUUUUAGCUAUGGUCAUGGGAGCGAUUACAUGUGGGUCUUCCUAGUAGAUCACUUCCCCAUGCACCAGUGCCUGUAGAUGAGAGAUUCCCACCAGAUGCACUAGGGAGUAGGUGGAGUGUUACCUUAUCUCAUACAGACAUUCCUCAUCAUGUGUUGGUCACAUACAGAGAUGAGUUUGAUAAACAGCGAUCUGAUCAGGUUUGGGCUAAAUAUUAGUAUUCUUUAACAUGAACAUCUUAAUAUUAAUAAUAUAAUUUAUACUUUAUUAAAUACAUACUCAUCUAUGAAUAUAUUAGGUAUUAUGGCAGCCUUACACAGAUGAUAUACUAGCGCUACUUCCAGACAUUUGUUUAGCUGAUCAGGAUAUUUGGCAGACGAUGUCACCACUUUUUUUUUUUUUAUAUUGUUGAGUGGCAUCGUCCUGAGCGUGUGUUGCGACAGUUUGGACUCAUAUAGGGUAUUCCUUCGACACCCCCUAUAGAUUCUGACCUUCACUCCAUAGAUCGACGUGGUCGACCUCAGUUUGAUUAGAGGUUGUAUCAUGAGCACUACGUGGCAUUAUGGGAGGCUAGAGGGGACCACAUUGUCACUGCGGAGCCUAUAAGGCCUCAUAUGGACUACCAUGCUCUGUACAUGACAUGGUAUCGUCGUAUUACACGUCGUUUUAUUACACCUAUGAAUGAUUUUGGACCUAUGCGGUACCAGACUACUGCUUUAUUUGUCCACUUAUUGGUUUGUAUCACUUUAAUAUUAUAUACAUAUUCUGUAUAAUAUUUAUUCCAAUAAAUAAUUAUAUAUCAUUUUAUGUGACAGAUUGAGACUAUGACAUCAAUCAUAUCUCGAGGAGGUCAUGCAUUGGAGGACUCUGAUACUGAUGCUUGCCGCACUGGUAUUGUUGAUAUUAUUCGUAUGGCCACUGAUGUUAUGUGCAUUAUUCGGGAGGAUUAUCGUUCCCACAAGUAGAGCAUGGAGGAGAUAGGUCACUAGCUCAGUCAACAGUUGCUCGACCACCACUUGUUCGAGGUCGGUCGACAUCUCGAGGGAGAGGUAGAUAUAGUAGUUGUCAGCCCAUCACAUUGUCAGUAUCAACAUCAUUACAACCCCCUACCUUUUUAUCCUCACAAUUAGUACAGUCACCCAUUUCUUCAGACGUACCAUCAGUGCAGCACCCUACUUCUUCAGACCCACCAUCAGCCUAACCCCUUACUUCUUCAGACCCACCAUCAGUACAACCCUCUACCUCUUUAGACCUACCUCCAUUACAACCUCCUAUCUCUUCAAACCCACCAUUAGUGCAGAUUGACACAUCUACUCAGCUAGAUUUACCGCCAGCCAUUCCGAGGGGUAGGCGGGGCCUACGUCGACCUAGAUUGCUACCUCCACCACCACCUCUAUUUCCAACUCUAGCCCCAUAACAGACAGAUGUUCUUCAUGUGUCACAUGCAGUACCUGCUACAGUUAGAGAGGAGCGUCCAAAAAAGAAGAGAGUAUCAGUUACACAUAGGUUCUCUCCUUGUGGAGGCAUGUGAGAUUAUAUAUGUUUUUUAUUUUCCACUAUAUUAAUGUUUAGUGGAUAUUUUUUGUGACUUUAAUUAAACUAUUAAAAAUUACAUUUUGUAGUAGACUUUUUGUAAUUAAUUUCAUUAACUAAUUUUGUAAAAAAAUCUAUAUAUGACAACUACGGCUUAAGAGUAUGUUAUUAUUUUGUUAAAGAUAAAUUUGUCAUAAUAGAAAUAAAUUAAUAUCUUAAAAAUUAACAAAUUAAAUAUCUUAAAUUAAUAAAUUAUACAAUUUUAUAUAUUAUUUAUAUGUUAUAUAAAUUUAUUAUUUUAAGAUUAUUAAUUUAUUAAUAAAUAAAACACUCAUUUAUAAUAUCUUCUAUUUAUUAAUUUAUGUUUGUUGAAGUAAUACUAGAUUUUUAAGUUUAAAUAUAAAUAAUUUAUUAUUUAAGUAUAUUUUUUAAAUUUCAAUCAUAAAUUGUGAUUUAAUAGUUUUUAAUUAAAUUUGAAAGUAAAAAAAAAUAUUAUAAUUGAAAUCUCAGUUAUCAACUACUAUACUAUUAUUUCGAUAAAGAUAAAUUUAUCAUAAUAUAAAUAAAUUAAUAUAUUAAAAAUUAACAAAUUAAAUAUCUUAAAUUAAUAAAUUAUACAAUUUUAUAUAAUAUUUAUAUGUUAUAUAAGUUUAUUAUUUUAAGAUUAUUAAUUUAUUAAUAAAUCAAAUAUUAAUUUAUAAUAUCUUCUAUUUAUUAAUUUAUGUUUGUUGAAAUAAUACUAGAUUUUUAAGUUUAAAUAUAAAUAAUUUUUUAUUUAAGUAUAUUUUUCAUGAAUUUUAUUUUAUAUUUAUAAUAUUAAAAAUAAAAUAGAAUUAACAAAAAUAAGUUAAAAUUAUUUUAUUAAUAUAUAUUGACAAAUAAAAGAUAAAAAUUAUAUAUAUAUAUAUAUAUAUAUAUAUUUAGAAAAAUUAAAAUGAAAAAAGAGAGACAAUUGUCACACAAUGGUCUCCCUUUGUCACACAAUGGAGAGACCUUGUCAAUCGGGAAUGAAGUUACACUUUUAAAAAUUACUAGUAGAAAGCACGUGCGAGGCGCAUGAAGAUGUACGUAGGUAUAUGAUUGUGAAUGUGCAGAUAAAUGGAAUGAAAGAUAUAAUGUUUGAAAAGGUAAUUAGUAAGUGAAUUAUCUUUUAAUAUAGAUAUAAUAAUUUAAAUUUCUUUACUUUUAAUAAUCUAUAAAUAAUUUUAAAUUGAUUAACAUAAUAUAUAAAAUGACAUAAUAUACCUAUAAUUUAAUUAAUCCAUAAAUAAUAAUUAUAAAUAGAAAUAUCAAAAUAUUAUCAUAUUUGAUUAUAGUAAUAGAUACUAUAUAGUAAUAUAUUAUUAUAAUAUAAGAUGAUAUUUUACCUUUCUUUAAAUUCUUUAUAUUUUUAUAAUUUAGUAAUUAAGUUAGUUAUUAAACUUAUCUUAAAGAUCAUAUAUAUUUUUUUUUAAAUUUUAGUUUCUUGUUCAUCAAUAUUUCAAAUAAAUUAUUUAAAUUAAAAUUUAUUAUUGUAACUCAAGGAUGUACUUAAAGAAAAAUGGAUAGAACAUAAAAAAAAUAUGUUAUUAUAGUCACGAUUUAGGUAAAAUCACAACCAAACAAAUAUGUGUCAUAAUUUACAAGUUUUGUAAUCCACCAUUGUUGUAAUGUACUCUUUUAACAAAUUUACUUAAUUGGCUUCUUCCAUAAGUUUGAAGCAAUACCUGUUUAUCUUUAUAAUUGCUUGAGUUAAAUUCUUUUCUUUUCUCUCUUGCAAAAAAGUUAUAUAUAUUUUAAAAGGUAUUAGGUGAAAUAGAAAAAUGAUGCUUUAACCAUCGGUCAAACUAAUGAACCAUGAAUUAGUAAUUUUUUUUUAUUCAAUGACUGAUUUUAUUCUAAAAACAUUGAUUUAAAAGAUUUCAAAUUAACACUACCUAAAGGCAUUGAUAUAUAUGUAGAGGCUUUGGGUGUCAAUUAAGCCUAAAUAUUUAAUUACAUCUCUUCUAGUAUUUAGGCAUGCACACAUGAUACAACUUUUUGUUUGAAUUAUAUUACAUGGACAAUUACUUGUUGAAUAUUUAAAUGUUAAAAAUAAUAAUAUUAUUAAAGAAAACUUAGAAAUAAACAUUUAAUGACUCAAAUUUUCUUUAUUUCUGAAAUUAAAUUAUACUUCUCUUCUUUAAACAAUUUUUUCAUAAAUAAAUGUGUUUAGACAUUUUUCAAGAUCUUCGAUAAACAUAACUUUCAAAAUUUUCUUUUAACUUCUCUUCAUUUAUAUUCAUAUUUGUUUUGAAUUAAUUUUGAUUUAUCUAUUGAAAAUUAGUUGUAGUUUACAUUCUUUGUAUAAUAUUUAUUAUCAUCAUCAUUAUAAUAACAAAGAAAUGAUUAAAAAUAUUUGUUCAAAAAUGAGGUUAAAAAAUUUUAUAUAAGAAAAAUAAAAUGUGGUAAACUUGUUUUUAGGCAAACCCUUAAAUAUUUUCAUUAAUUAAUAAUAAUUUUUUUUUUUUUUUACAAAUUUUCCAAAUUCAUGUGAUAUAAUUUGAGUGAAAAUUUAUUAAAAACUCGAAAGAAAAAUAAAUAUUUGAUAUAUUAAUAAUUUAUACUUCUAGGUAAUAAAAUCUUCUUGUCCAACUCACGUAUUCAAUUAAUAAUCCUAAAUAUAUAAGAUAAUAAUUUUUUUAGAAAUUCUUAAGAGUCCAAUAAAAUAUAAAUUAAUAACUAAUGAAAUAUGUAAAGAAAAAAAAAUCAUAAUGCAAACUUUCUCAAAAUAUACAUUGAAAUUUAUUUCUUUUAAUCACUUUCAUCUUGAGUGAAAGGAGCCUUCCUUGAGCAAAUCAAUUGCAUGGAAACGAGAUAAAUGUCUUUCAUGCAAAGUAGGGUAAAAAAAAAUAGAGGUAGACUUAGAAUUUUAAGUGUCUGCUCAGAAAAAAACAAUGAAAUCCCAAAUCCCAAUUUUAGCGAAGAAGAAGAAAUGUGAAUCCCAGGCUUUCAACUUCAAAACGGGAGAAAAGAAUGUACAAUUUAUUCAAAACUUUUAGGCCCCACUUAAAAACAUGGAAAAUUUGACAAUAAUGAAACCGCAUGGAAAACGGAGGUAAGUCAUGUCAAGUGGGCCCAUCUGACCUACUACAUUAAAUUGUUUGGAAAGGGGGAAUUCAAACUGAAAUUGCCUGGAAGUGAUUUCCCAUUUGCCCGGAAAUUGCCUUGAAACUGGGAACUUAGCUGGAUUUAAAAUCAACAAACCUGGUUGUCAGUUGAUCAGCAACAACUGUGAAAACAAGUAAUGGCUGAAAGUAUUGUCACCGUUUUUCUAGAGAAGUUAACUGACCUGCUUUCCCAGGAAGCAUUUCUACUCAGCAGAGUGGAAGAGCAGGUGAAUCUGUUGAGUAUUGACCUCGAAUGGAUGCGCCAGUUUCUCAAAGACGCGGAUGCGAAGCGCAGAUAUGAUCCAAGAAUCAAGCUCUGGGUGAGUCAGAUCAGGGACGUAACCUAUGACGCCGAAGAUGUCAUCGACAGGUUCAUGUUCGAGAUGAAUCACCAACAGCAAGGAAGUCUCAAAUGCCUCAAGUUCCUUAAGUUACGAUUGGUUCACAAGCUCGAGUCUCGAAUCAGAGAGAUCAAUACCAAGAUUGAGAAGAUCAAGGCUGCCAAAUCAACGUUCAUUGUCGAAACCUUACCAGCUGCAAGCUGGCCCAACGAAGUUGUGCCACAUAGAGAGAGGAGGGCUCCGAUUGUGGAAGAAGUCAACGUGGUGGGAAUUCAAGAGGAUGCAAAAAGCGUCAAGCAAAAGCUGCUUAAUGGAGAGAUGCGGAGAGCUGUGGUGUCCAUCGUGGGCAUGGGUGGCUUGGGAAAGACUACCCUGGCUAAGAAAGUCUACAAUGAUAAUGAUGUCCAGCAAUGCUUUGAUUGUCAUGCUUGGAUUUAUGUCUCUCAAGAGUAUACAAUCAGGGAGCUUUUGCUAGGCGUUGCUGUUCGUGUUGGGAUUCUCUCCGAAGAGGAAAGGAGUAAAAUGAACGAGAGCGAUUUGGGGAAUAGUCUUCGUGAUUACCUGACUACCAAGAAGUACUUGAUAGUUAUGGAUGAUAUGUGGAGAAAUGAAGCUUGGGAUAGGUUGGGCUUGUAUUUUCCUGACUCGGUGAAUGGCAGCAGAGUGUUGAUCACCUCACGCAAUAAACAGAUUGGUCUUUAUGCUGAUCCACAAACCAUUCCCCAUGAACUUUCUUUUCUGACUGAAGAAGAGAGCUGGGAGCUCUUUCUCAAGAAAAUUUUUCUGGCUGGGAGUGCAAAUGCUGUUUGCCCCAGAGAAUUGGAAGAGUUGGGAAAGAAAAUUGUAGCAAAUUGUGGGGGUUUGCCCCUUGCAAUUGUGGUCUUGGGAGGCCUUCUAUCAAGAAAAGAAAAGACACCGCUCUCCUGGCAAAAAGUACUGGACAGCCUAACUUGGCACCUAAAUCAAGGUCCAGACUCAUGUUUGGGGGUCCUUGCUUUAAGCUACAAUGAUAUGCCGUAUUACUUGAAGUCCUGUUUCCUUUACUGUGGCCUUUUCCCAGAAGACUCAGAAAUCAGGACAGAUAAGUUGAUCCGCUUGUGGGUUGCAGAAGGGUUUAUACAAAGAAGAGGAGAAGAAAUAGCGGAAGACGUCGCGGAAGAUCACUUACAGGAAUUGGUACAUAGAAGCAUGAUUCAAGUGGCUGCCAGGAGUUUCGAUGGAAGAGUGAUGUCCUGUCGCAUGCACGAUCUGCUUCGAGACCUUGCCAUUUCUGAGGCCAAAGAUACAAAAUUUUUCGAGGGAUAUGAAAGCAUUGAUUCUACAUCCCCUGUUAGUGUUCGUCGACUAACCAUUCAUCAGGGUAAGAAGACUAAUUCUAAACACUUGCAUACUUCACGUAGUCUCCGAUCUUUCAUUUGUUUUUCUGUAUGCUUCCAAGAAAACAUUUUGAGAUCUUUACACAGGCGUGUCAAAUUGCUCACUGUACUGGACCUAGAACGCAUGCCUAUCAAUACCAUCCCAGAAGGCAUAGGAGAACUUAUCCACCUUAAGUACCUGUGCUUAAGGAGAACCCGCAUAAAAAGGCUUCCAUCGUCCAUAGGUCGUCUUACAAAUCUACAAACCCUAGACUUUCAAAGCACUUUCAUUGAAAUAAUUCCUUCUACCAUUUGGAAAUUGCACCAUUUGAGACAUCUAUACGGUCGUGGUGUGGUUUCAAGCCAGUCAGUGAUAGAUAAGUGCAGGAAUGGCCCUUUGAGUGUUGACCACCUAACAAACCUCCAAUCGUUAGGUUUAAGAGCAGGCAGUUGGUGCUGUGGUGAAGGCUUGGGAAAAUUAACUGAGCUUAGAGAACUGAUAAUUGAAUGGACCAAAAUGGCACAAACAAAGAACCAUGGAUUUUCCGAGUCAGUAAAAAAGCUAACUGCUCUUCAAUCCUUGCGUUUGUAUACUUUAGGAGCGGAAAUGUUUACCUUGCCGCACCUCAUGCCUUUCUCAGACCACACCUACCUUUACCAUCUAAGUUUAAGAGGAAGGCUCGAAAGGUUCCCUGAUGAAAUUGAAUUCUACCCUCCAAACCUCAUCUCCUUGGAAUUGGAAUGUUGGAAUAUAG
rnacentral:lncRNA from 1 species